rnacentral:lncRNA from 1 species
AUCUUUCUCAAUAUGCACCUUGAAGAAUUUAAUAGCAUGCUUUUUUCUUCUUUUUUGUGAUUCAAUGUGUAUAAACUUUCUGAGCGUGCAAGUACUUGUGAUACUAGUGCAAUAUGAAUAAAUAAUUUUGGUGAUUGAUUAUUGUGUUAUGAUGAAUUGAAGAGCUUAUUUAUGUAAAUCCCCACAUAAUGAGAACUCAAGGUCCACCGUUUCGGUUACCAGCUUUUUGCUAGUCGAUGGCCGGACCAAUUUAGGUCUAAUUCGACCGGCAUACCAUGUGUCAGUAUGUCAGAAUGUACCAUGAAUUGUUGGGGGGAGGGAGAGGAAGUCAAAGAAUAAGGAAGAAGAGGAAGAAGAAGGAAAAGAGGAAUGAGGAAGAUGAAGAAUGAAGGAAAGGAGGAAGAAGAUGGAAGAAGAGGAGGAAGAGAAGAAAGAAAAAUAGGAAGAAGAAGAGGAGGCGGUGGAGGAGGAGGUGUACGUGAGCAAUGUGGGCGAUGGGUGGCGAGGGAUAGGCAGCAAGUGGGGAGGCGAGGGUGGACUCGGACACGUGGGAGAACAGGAGAUGACUUAAGUUUUAUUUUUUAUUUUUAAAAUUUUAAAAAUGAGUUGGGCUUACCUGGUCUAGGCCCAUUGUCAUGCUUGAAUUGGGUGGUAAGCCCUGUUCACAGGCCUUAAUGCCAGGUUUACUGGGCUCACCAUGCAGUAAGCCUUGUAUUGUGCUGAACUGCCCAAAAUUGGACUGGUCUGGAUGCCGGUUGGUGGUCAGACAAGUAAAUACUUGCCGUAUCAUACCGAACCAGAUGAAAUUGCAUUCCUUAUUGAGAAGAGACAGUCAAGAAUUGAUGAAUUGGUUACCUGAAAUAUAGAUUGAAUUUGUCAGCUUCUGCACUCCAAGUAUCACUGUAUAUCUUGUAUUAGACUAGGUUUUACUUUUAGACAAGAAUGCGAUGUGGUACGGUUUGCAAAAUCCAACAUAUCUUGGAUAUUAACGCAUGUAAUGAUGAAUUCUGGUAUUUUCUUUUGACAACUUGCCACAGAAAUCUUUCUAGUGGGUCUGUGUUUUAGGUUUGCUUAACAACAUUUUUACAUGGAUGGAUUUAUAUCCUAUUCUCCCACUUCUGUAUCUUGGCCUGUCGCUUUUCUUGCUUUGUAGUGAAUUUAGCAUUCAAGUGUAUUUUCCCAGAAGGAAUUCUGUAGAAGCAUAUCUUUCUAAGUGCUUUGAAAGAAAAAAAAAGGAGCUCCCUUUAAGAUCUUGUUUGCUGAUAUCUUGCUUGACAAAUACAGUUUUCUGAGGUGUUGGAUGAAAAUGGGUAGCUUCAGAUGUUUUUAAAUGUUUUUUUAUUGGUUUCAUUCAAGGUGAGCCCUUGUUUUGUCUUUUCUGUUUUUCUCAGGACCCUAAGAGAAAGGUACAUAAGCCUGUGAAAGGUGUAUUGAGAUUGGAGGUUGAAAAGCUUCAUGCAAACUCUGUUGAUAUUGAUAAUAUCUCUGAAGGAGGAAGUAUGAUUAUUGACUCAAAUGAGGCUGAAACUUCUUUUGGAAAGCAUCACGUCAAUGGUCUGGAUGGAUCUAGGAGUAGUCAUUCGAAGUUCAUUGGCAUUGACCGGAAAGACAUUCGUGUUAAUGCUUUAACACCGGUGGGAGAAGAUCAUCCUGACUCUUCUGGUGAUGAUGUAAGUUUUUUUUGGUCAAGUUCUACUUAUCCUUCUAUGAUCAAUAGUACUGCUUUACCACUGACUUGCUGGAUGAACUUGUUUUAGGAAGCUUUAUCUGGAAUUAUUGGAGAUUUCACUCAAUUACUGUUGUUUUAUUAAUUUUAUGAAAAAUAAUAUUGUCAUCAAAAGUUCUGGUCGUCGAUCUGUUUGUCAUCCUCCAAAGUUUUACAAUAUAGAGCUUUUGAAGAAUAUGCUUUGGUGGAGAUUGUGGGAGUCCAGAAUAAGAAAAUAAUAGAGUGGACUAAUGUAGUGAACUUCUAGCAUCGUGUUUAUUCUUGUCUAGUACGAUGUGUCUGGAACACAGGGUAAUAUAUAUUGGAGUACUAAUUUGAGGUCCAUCGUCUUGCUUUGUAUUGGUUUGCCAUUUUCCAUGGACUUAAGUCUCUGUGCAACUCUGUGCAACUCUAUGAAUGAAGUAAUAUGAGCAACCAAAUCUGUCAAGGGGUUAAGCUGAUUGGAACAUGCCAUUUUUAAGAUCCAAGGACAGCAUGACUUUGGAAACUGGAUCAACGGGAAGGCAAACAGAGGAAUCAAAUAUUAGCUAUACUAGUCAGUACAGAUCAGAAUCUGCUGGCCCAACCAAGGGCUGGUAGUAUUUUUUAAUUUAUAUUGUAUUUUAUAGUGAUAUCAGGUGGCAUGAGAUAGUAUACCGCUCGGUAGAUCGGUACCAUAUGACCAAUAACUGAAACUGGUAUUGGAUUGAGAUUUAAAUCCUCAAUGCAAGCCACUAUAUUUUGUUAUGAAUGAGGCAUUGGAAUUGUUGGUGGAUGACAACAGGAGGAUCCACACAUGCCUCUACAUCCAGAGAAAUUAUGUGGGCUAAGAUGCAGGACAUUAAGCUAGAAGUACAGCAGUUUCAUGGGACUAGUUUGUUGGUCUCAUGAGUUUGAGUGGCAUCAGCUCUUGGACGGAAGAGAAGUAUUUAUUUUAAAGGAUUAAAAAUGUCAAUUGGUGCCAAAUUUUGAAAAAACAACACUGAUUUGCUUGAAUAGUUAACUGCAUGAGUUCUUGAAGAUAAUGAGAUGUUAAUUUUAUAUGAGGUAUAUAGCAGGGUUGUAACAGAUGCCAUGAGCCCAUUAAAGCCCAGUACCUUAAUUUACGAAUUUGAAUAAAGUCAAAUUGAUAAUGAUCAUUAUUGAUGUUUUUCACGUAGGAUUUGUGGAAAAUGUAAUUGUUAGAUAUCAUAAUAGAUGAAAGAAACAAAAUAGAAGAAAUAUCAUCAAAAACAAUGGAAUAUUCCAUGCCCUAGAUUAUUAUUGUCAAGGAAGUGAUCCUAGAAUCCAUUUGUGGUUUACUCAUUACUAUCGUUGCUUUGUUUCUAACCCAUACAAACACAAGCACAGAUAGAUAAGAACAUCUGUCUGCUGGAUAACCAUAUCCUAUCAGUUGAAAUCUAAUUAUUUAUGACAAAGUGGGCACUAUAUUUGAUUGACUUGUAUGGUUUUUUGCUGUUUUUAUGAACUAUAUUUCAAAUUAUAUUUAUUAUACUCUUUGCCUCCUCUCCUAGCUUCCUUCCAAGGCAAAUUGUAUGGGACUUUCUUUCUGAAUAGGAAGCUGUUGCCCAUUUCGGAACUUUUUGAUGCUUGUAAAUUAACUUUAAUCUCAGGGCCAGAGAAUUAAGUAAUUAUCCCUUUUAAGCUUGAAUUUUAUUAACUUUGAUGUCUUGCAUUAAUGAAAUCACUUCAAAAUUUUGUUUUGUGGCAGUUUCAAGCUUUUGAUUUUCGGAUGAUGACUAGAAAUGAACCAUUCUCGCAACUUUUCCAUUGUCUACACGUGUAUCCCUUGACUGUUAACUUGAGCCGCAAAAGAAAUUUGUUUAUAAAAGUCGAGAUGAGAAAGGAUGAUGCUGACAUACGAAAGCAGCCAUUAGAGGUUUGUAUUGAUGAGACUGACUUGGUUCGUCAUAUCAAUUUCAGUUCACAUUACUUAAGCUUGAUGUGCUGCUGUUGUUUUUUGUUGAUCAGGCUGUGUAUCCCAACGACUUAGGUCCAACUCUUCAAAAAUGUGCUCAUACACAAAUUGCAGUUGGUGCUAGGAUGGCCUGUUAUCAUGAUGAGAUAAAAAUUUGUCUCCCUGCUCUUUUGACAACCCAGCAUCAUCUUCUGUUCACUUUUUUUCAUGUUGAUCUUCAAACAAAACUUGAAGCUCCCAAGCCUGUACGUGCUUAUCAUUCUUUUUGGUUGAUUUUAUGUGAAUUCUACAUAACUUCUUGACAUGUGGAACAAACUACACGUACUUCUGUUUGAUAGUUGCUUACACGUGCAGGUAAUUAUUGGAUAUGCUGUACUUCCAUUGUCCACACACAUUCAGUAAGUGUUGCAUCUAUUAGUAUUUAUAUAUUGCAAUGUCAUUAUGGGUGGUAUGUCAAUAUAAUUUAAGGGUGAUAGUUGGCGGUGGUAAUGUUGUACAACUGAUGCCUACAUGUUCUUUUUGUGGAAUUGGAUUCACCAGUUGUUCCUCCAAAUUUGGUAACACCAUGAUACUGACUUGGUAACACCAAGAGCAAAAACUUCCCUAUCUAGUUUUGAGAACUUUUAGUUACUUGGUAUCUUGUGCUCUUAAACUAUUAUUUUGGGGGAGACAACACAAUCCUGUAUAUUGGCUAUGGUGUAGCUGACGUUAUUUGGUGUUUGAAGUUGCGAUUUGCAAUUUUAUUAUAAGCCCAUUGUGACCAAGAAAUACAAUAUUGAACCAUUGUAAUGAAUUGAUUUGGAACACGAAGGCAUUUGGUUUAAACUGGCAUUGAAUAUAUGUGUGUCUAACACAAGAUUUAUUGAAAUGAAGGUAUCUUCUUUGAUGGCAACGUAUGUACGUGCUAAUGUGUAAAGAUCUGUGAUAAAUAAUGAUAGAUGCUGAUGCUGAUAUGCAUGCUGGGGUUGAUUCCUUUAUCGUACGGGUAAUUUUUUUUUGUAAAUAUUUUACACGCAUGUCUGGGUUAAUCUUAGGCAGCAUGGAAUUGCAGUGGGCAACUCUUGGUAAUCAAACUUUUUUUUAACAAGUUAUGAAGCACUAGGUAUGAUAGGCAGAUGCCAAGAUCUGCGAACUUGUUCAUUUAUACUCAUUUUGUUUAUUUGUGUUCACAUUACACAGGAGUUGUUAUACCAGCUUUUAUGGUGUUCUACCCUUCGAAAGUUGUAAACAGUUUUGGGUUGAUUGAAACAUUGCAUAUUAUGGAUUGUUUUCAUUUUCUUUGCCAUUUUGAAUGAGUGUGCCAUAUCGUCAAAUUUUAACUAUGGGUUUACUUGUAUGUGUCUGUGUUUCCUUUGAGAUGAGAGAAUGCUUUUCAUCAUUUAAGUAGUUUGAUUUUGCCCUUUUCAGGCUGUUGUCUGAUGUAUCUUUACCUAUUUUGAGAGAGCUAGUUCCUCAUUAUCUCCAAGAUAGUAGCAAGGUAUCUAUUUUACUUGUACAUUCAUUAUGGGGAAGUUCCAAGGCAAAUGUCUCUUUCUAGACACUUUUUUGUUUUAAAUGUGCUGAUUCUCUCAAAGUGGCUUGUUGAUCCUUUAUAAAUUGAAAAUUCAUACUUUAUCCUUAUGGUUUUAACUUUUGGGUUAUCUUUUCAGGAGAGACUGGACUUUCUAGAGGAUGGGAAAAAUGUCUUCAGAUUACGUUUAAGGCUGUGCUCCUCUUUGAUUCCCGUCAAUGAACGAAUUCGUGACUUUUUUCUCGAGUAUGAUCGGCAUAAUCUUCGGACAAGUCCACCUUGGGGAUCUGAGCUUCUUGAGGUACUUAUUGUGCUUUUUAUUUAGUUUCUACCUUUGAAACUUUCAUGAUGAUGAUGUUCGGUAAUUGCUCACUUAAUCUCUGUUUGGAUUUCAAUCCUGAUUGCUAUUUAAGGGAGAAAAGAGGAACAGCUGAACUGUCAGGCCACAAACGAACCCAAAUAUUCAAUUCAUAAGUCAUCAGAUUAUGUUAUGACUCAAGAUUUCACUACUAUUUAUAACAUAUUUUACUCAAGAUCCAAUCAUACUAAAAGAUUUUAUGGAAAGAAACCUUACUUGUAAGGAAAUCUUGUAAUUCUGUAUUAUCUUAUCUGAAAAAUAAAAAUUGGCCAUUUUAAUAGGGACUUAGUGGUAUACAAGACUAUAAAAUCCUGUAGGAUGGGUAUGAUAGUGGUAUACAGGACUGCAUACCAACAUUUACCGCUCAACGUCAUUGAAAGUUUUGAAAAAAAAAAGACAUGACUGAUAUUGAAUUAUAUAGUCCAAUAUUGUUGUUUUACUACACCAGUAAAUAUCGGUCAAUAGGUAUCAAUCUGACAGGAUUCUGAAAUUCUGGUUGGGAGUGUGAUGACACUCUAAGUUUGAGUAGGUUGGCUUAUGAGAAGCUUUGAAUUACUCAGUUACAUGAUAGAUCAUGGAGGAUCCUUAAUUUUUGACUUUCCUCUGAACUUUAUUGGGCUACUAGCAAUUUGAUAACUCCGUCUUUCUAGAUAACAUGUAAGGUUUUGAUAUUUUUUUGUUGUAAAAUUUACCUCAAUAUCAUUUAGUUGGAAUGAUGAAAUUCUCCUGUCACCUUCUGUAAUAUUGUUAGUUUGAUGGGCGUCAUUAAUGAGAGCUAAGAACUCUUUUGACUUUCUCAUUUAUUAAUAAGGUUUUAAUCAUGUCAAUCAUCUGAUAACUGUUGCCAUAUAACACAAACUUGAACCAGCUAACUAUGUGGAUUUCUCAUUAUUGGUUGGUUGGCAUUGCAACUAAGUUUCUCCUGGCUGUUUAGUUUAACAUCCUCUUGUGCAUACUGCAUAUAAACAAUUCUGCACUCCCUCUGAGAAGUUAAAAAGGGUGAUUUCAAGAUCAAGUGGUCUUAGAAGGAAAUUUCAACAGAUAUGGAUUCACCUUAUUAAACAGCCGGACAACUUUUAGUGUCUAUGGUUACAUAUGAUUUUUGUGUUGCUCAAUUGAUUGCUAAUUCCAUUUUUAUUGAACUAUUAAAUAGCUGAGAAGUUAAAAAGGGUGAUUUCAAGAUCAAGUGGCCUUAGAAGGAAAUUUCAAUAGAUAUGGAUUCGCCUUAAAUAGCUGGACAACUUUUAGUGUCUAUGGUUACAUAUGAUUUUUGUGUUGAUCAAUUGAUUGCUAAUUCCAUUUUGUUUGAACUAUUAAAUAGUUCCAUCCAAAAAGGUGUAUGAGUGUCACAUGUAAUGCUGUUGUCGAUCAUUAGUCUGAGGAUCUAAUUGGAUUUUCUGUCCUAAGGCCACAAUUUAUAUGCUGAUUAUGCAGGCGAUUAACAGCUUGAAGAAUGUUGAGUCUACCGCCUUACUGCAGUUUCUCCAACCAAUACUCAACUUGCUCCUUCAUCUUAUUGGUGAUGGCGGGGAAACCCUGCAGGUUCUGUUUAUCUUUUGUAGACGAAAAUUUCACUUUGGUCAUCUGGUUCCUCAAAAUUUGUUGUAGCUAAGUGCCAAUUUUCUUUUUGUACAAGUUUUCUUUUUUUUUUGUUUUGGCCCUGGAAUUAAUUUGAUUGCAAUUUCUUGUUUCUUUACUAUUAAUUUUGUAGGUUGCAGCAUUUCGGGCUAUGGUCAAUAUUUUGACCAGGUAUGCAUUUCCAUUGAUAUUUUCUAUAGUGUUAUUUUUUGGUUUUAUCUCAAUGUAUGCUAAAAAAAUUCAUUAUUCUAAGCGCAGACAUUUUCAUUUCAUUAAGAAAAGAAUUUGCUGAUAUUAAAGAAGUUAAAAGGUAAACAAGAGGAUGAAUCAUCCAUAAAUUAAACCUGAAAUAGAUACUCCCAAAUGUUCCACCACUCAAAUAUGCUUGCUAAUUCAGGUCAAUUAGUCUCAGAAAAGCAAGAUGAUAUUUGAUAUAUUUAUCUCUAAUUUGGCUCUUGGGAUACAUAAAUGUACAUGAUUCAUGUAUGAUUCAUAAUUUCAUAUUAUGUCCUCAUGGAUGAGUAUGUCUAUUCAUACACAUUGGUAUGUAGAAGAUGCAUGUAAUUUUUUUAUUAACCUCGUAGGCACUUCUGAACUGCAACUUGUGAUUGAUUGUUGGCUGCACAAGACUUUGUUCAUUGUUUUAAUUUCUUGAAUUUCUAUUCUGUAUUAGGUUCAUCAGUUGAAUAUGGAGUAUUUGUUAACUGAUAAUAAAUUAAAUCAUUUGCAAAUAGAAUACAAGAUACCACUUUCAUUUCUUUUUAAGUCACAUAUGUGAAGUAUUACUUUUGAUUUAAUCACCACCAUGCAGGGUACAACAAGAGUCAUCUGAUGGGGCUGACAGAAAUCGUUUUCUAGUUAAAUAUGUUGACUAUGCUUUUGAUGACUUUGGCGGUAGGCAAGCACCUGUAUACCCUGGUUUAUCUACAGUGUGGGGCAGCUUGGCACGUAGUAAGGUAAUGUUGAGAUCUGACUUUGUUUUCUUUGGGUAUUCGUAUGUCCAAGUAUGCUUCAAUGUCCUGGAACAGAGCAUAUCUGUUCAUCUUAGAGUCAUUCUUUCGCAGUCUCUUGGAAACGAGUUAUCUUCUGGUUUCUAAGUCCUAUUGUAACUGAUGCCAACAGAAGCUUAAUCUUUUAACUUGCCUAUGAAAUAAAUCCAUAUUACAUCUUCCUCUUAAAUUAUGUGAUGUUUGUUAUACCUGUGCAUGUUUCUGUGCUUUCAUUAUAGUGGAGUUUGGAAAUAUUGUCUACAUCUCAUAUGCUUUUUCCUUUGGAGUGAGAAAUUCUCACUUUUGAUGCAACUUCAAGUAGUAUGCUGUCUUUCAUCUUUUAUUGUUCUCCAUUCCUUGGUCCAUGAUUUAUAUUUUCUUCAUUGGUAAGGUGAGCAAGCCAGCAAUGUGUAAGAUGAAAGCUACAAUUUCUGAAUUUCUAAACUUGGAAUGAACUUUUUUGUUUGGAUUAGUCAUAAACUACUCGAUUUUAAUUUAAUGUCAAGAUUUACUCAUAUUUUCUUCUGAAUGGACUAUGUGACUAAAUUCUAGCAGUUAUACAGGAUUUGAAUUAUUAAUGCUGGAUCUUAUGAUAUGUAUAAACUGACAACUGUGAGCAGCAAUAGAUCUUGCAUUUCCGAGUUAUAUACAAGUAAAGAGUUGUUUUAAGUUUCGUUCUCUAUCUCAUGUGAUCAAGGAGACACAAAAACCCAAUGGACGGUUGGUUAUCAUACUAUUCUCAGGCCUCUCCACUAUGGGUUUGCAUUCAGAUAAUAAUGGUAGUUGCAAUAGUCAGACUUGUGAAGUAUCAUAAACCUGCUCUGUGUAAUUGUUCAUUGCUGGUAGGUUCUGGAGGUUUGUAAUUGUGCUAAAUUUUGUUUUCUGAAACAAUUCAUUUAGCCAUUUGCGAAAAAAGGAAAAAAGAUAUUUGAGAUAAUUGAGGAAGAUAUCUACCUGAUCAAUAUGAUGUGGAAUCAUAUCAGAUGGAGAUGGAUUUUGAUUGUAGUAAUAUUUGCAAGCUUAUCCACGCAUUGAUUUUGCUUCUAUAGACAUGAAUGUGUGUGUGUGUGUGUCUAUAUAUAUAUAUAUAUAUAUAUAUAUAUAUAUAUAUAUAUAUAUAUAUUACACUCAUAUUUCUACAUUCUUUGAUGGUGGUUGAUUGUGUCAGUCUAACUGAUUGGGCAGUUGAACCAAACACCAAUUACCAGUAUAAUCAAUUUGGUGGCAGGUCAAUUUAUUGCUAAAUUAAACCUUUUGGUUCGGUUUGCUAUUUGGUUUAACAGGGUUGUAAAGAAGAGAGAACUAUUGCGGUUAGGGGAGUCUCUAUUUUGCUUAGUUCUACUAAUAUAACAAGUCAUAGGAAAUUUGAUCCAUAUAACUAGGGGUGUUUGGCAUUUGGUCUAAAUGACCAAGCCCAACUGGGCGAAAAUGAAAUAGGGUUUUGAUUCAGUUUGGAAAGAUCAGGGGGCACGUAUUGGUUGUCUGUAACUCUGUAUAAUAUAUAGCAUUUAUGGUAGCAAUUGUGUUUUGUUUGUACUCAAUAAUCAGCAUAGAAUUAUGCUGAGUAUACACAGUGUUGGAAGUUACAUUGUAAUAGGCACUAUAGUAAUACCUCGGGGUGUUUUUAUCAUAGAAUUGUUUGUUCGAAAAUUUAUAUAAUAACAAUUCAUCCAUGUUCCAAUGACUUUGUCUAUGCGACUUCUUUACAGGGAAAUGAUGAGCCUGGUACUCACGCUUGACACUGAUGUAUUUAUGAAUUAAAUGCAUAUAUUGUAUGAGUAUGAACAACUAAUCACAGAAUAAUUAGAAUGACCUCCAAAAUUAUGUUCUUUGCUGAACUUAAAAUUCAUGUAGAAUUUUUAAAGUCUUCGAGUUCACUCUUCAUAUCACAAUUGUAAUCAAGGUUCGUAAUUUCAUAUCGUACCGACGUAUCAAGCUUUGCUCGGUAUAGUACAGUACAGGCAUAUCGAGUGAUACAUCAGUAUCGCUCGGUGUGUGUGUGUGUGUGUAUAUAUAUAUAUAUAUAUAUAUAUAUAUAUAUAUAUAUAUAUAUAUAUAUAUAUAUAUAUAUAUAUAUAUANNNNNNNNNNNNNNNNNNNNNNNNNNNNNNNNNNNNNNNNNNNNNNNNNNNNNNNNNNNNNNNNNNNNNNNNNNNNNNNNNNNNNNNNNNNNNNNNNNNNUGAAGGAUGCAUCUCAUAUGACUUGGAUUAGAGUCCAUAAAAUAAUUGAUUCAGUCAGCUGGUUCUAAUUACACAUUUGAUGCAUAAUAGUUGUUCCUUUUGGAUUCAGUCAACUUCUAGAAGAGUUUAAGAUAGGCUGAAGGAUGCAUCUAAUAUGACUUCUGCAUUCCCCCAUCCUAUACCUUCUUAUGAGUCUAAUAUGUAUAAGAGUUUCUAUAUGUUUCUUCACUGAGAAAUGAAUUGAAGCAAGCCUCAGGCCUCUUUUCAUCAUCCUUUAGUAUCACUUUGUCAUCUACUAUUGCAUCUUUUUCCACUGGAAAUUAACUAUUAAUAUUAAAUCAGAUUCAUUCUGUUGUUCCCAUGAUUUUCUAUAGAAAAAUAUAUGUAGUCAAUACUGUCAACAAAUUCAGACCAAACAGCCUCUUCACUGCAUAAAUUUGUUCCAUUAUCCACUUCAUGACUAUGUCGUCUUAGGCCACUUAUUUCGUUAGUACUUAAUGCUAUGUGCUAUCUAAUACAUCUACGUAGAAUAAAUACACAAAGCCUAUGAUACUGUCAGUGUAUCUCCUAUCUCAGUGGACAACCAAUUUGAAGAUAAGUUAAUAAACAUCUCUAGUCUGACAUGAGAAAGCAGAUAAACAAUUAAGAGUCAAGCUAUCAUGUUUGGAACCCUGCAUGGCAGCAUCUCCAUAAUACAUACCAAGGAGAGAGAUCCAGGACACCUUUAAAGUUCAAUGAUGCAAAGAAGUGGAAACCAUCUAUUUGCAUGUUGAAGGAUCCAAGUAGCAUAUGCAUUUAAUUAUAUAAGGGAAGCAAGAGUUGAAAAUGAAACUUACUAAUGUAGAUGAGUGUCAAGAAACUGAACAAGCUACCAAUUACAGAAAGAACCCACAAGCCUGCAAUUACCUGCAUAUUUGGCUUAGUUGUUAAGAUCUUGAGCACAAACUGCAUCAAUAGAAGGACAUAAUGAAAAGAAAGACAUUAAAAUUCUACCAUCAAAAACUUCUUCAAAUCCUUUCCACAAGCAACAUAGUAGAAAGUUGCCAAAGCCUCAUUAAUUUCAUAUCUUACAGAUUGGGCGAUACUCAGAAAUAGGUCCUCAGGAAGGAAGACUUCAGGAAAUUUUGGUGGAGACCUGUAAAGCAAUCAGAUUCAUGUCAUAGGCUUUAGUUUGCACAGAGAAAGCCUAUAUCUGAAAGAGCUUAUAAUGUGUAUGUCAUAUUGUGUAAGUAUAUAUAUAUAUAUAUAUAUAUAUUCAUGAUGAGAACUCAUAGAGAGUAGUAUUAGAGCAAUUAGAUUUCAGGUUAACAAAUAUCCUAUACCCUUAUGUAGCUAAUUCUUUAAUUCUCAGACAGACAUCUGCAGGAGAUACUCGGUUGUGACAUUAAAAACUCACUAUUAUCAACACAAUCAGCAUAUCAUCUACUCCAGGAAUAAAAAUAUCUCUGUAGGACAUGAUACUGAAAAAGCACAUAUAAACCAAUCAUACUGAGAAAGCCAGUCAUAUGACAAAAUUUUCAGCAGAACUGUUUGGUUACCUGUUGACAAAUGAUGCUCCGUUGAUCCAGAGAAAAGAUAUUGCCAGCAAAAGUAUAAGAAAGUGGCAAAUAAAUGUGAGCAAGUGAUAGCCCAUCCAGACAAAGAGAAGCCAGAUAACAGUAACUCCAGCAAAUAUGCUUCCUGAUAGUUGCAUAUUUCUCCACAGUAUGAUAUCAGCAGCUAUAAUCACAACAAACUUAUCAUUUAAUAAGAUUUGCAUUUUUUACUAAACCAAAUUCAAGAGAAAUGAAAAGGUUCUAGGAGGUGGUGAAGGCAAAAAUAUUAAUAUGCAUUGAACUUAAAAGAACAUUAUUCAGCAUAACAGAAGUACUUGUAUUUUUGCUAAAGUUUACAUUUGUAGAAAUGUUAAUGGACUUCACUGUCUGUUACAAAAUUCAGUAAGCUGUAAAAAUAAUACAUAGGACAGAAAAUAGUGCAACAGCAUCUGCUUUUACCAGUAAUUUGCAUGUGCAUGACUCCAAUAGAAAAAAGAAAUAAAGAAAUAAAGAUUGAUAAUAUAUUCAGAACAAAACAGAAUGUAGCAACCUUGAAGUUUCUAAUUAAACAGGUACUAGGGAAUUAAAGAGCUGCAUUGUUUAUAGCAAUAGGAAGUAAAUAAGAACAAACAGCAUACCUACGAUUGGCCAUGUGAUUUCCAUAGAUAAAAUUAGAAAAAAAACACAUUUCAAUUUCUCAUUUAAUUUAUCUCUUUUUGUAACACUAACAAUUUUAAACUAUUACAAGAACUUAGAGACCACAUACAACAAGUUGAAAAUAAACAAAGAAGCUUCCCAGUGAUAUGUUUGAUAAAAACUUCUAAAGAAGCAAAUAAGAACUUUGUAACGUGAUAAAUAUCUGCUUUGUAAAGCCAUUAGGCACACUUGAUCAACAAAAACAAAUAACAUAAUUACAUAGAUAAAUAUCUGCUUUGUAAGUGAUCCAAAAAGAAAACAUCAUGGACUCCAAAAUUAAUAGACACUAUGCUAUUAUUAACCAAAUAUAAGCCAGGAUUUUGCUCAAGCAUGAUAAAUACAAUACCAAAUAAAAGCCCUUUCUGAUGGCUGCAUAAAGGCCAGUCUGCUAUUGCCUAUCCUACACUCUAAAACAAACUAAUAGUUUGAAUUCUGAUCCUUUAGUCCCAUCAAUCAAGAAAUUAACAUUUCUGCCUUCAGAGUUGGUUUGCAUUUAUAAUAUGGUCUAAAAUAUAUAUAUUCAUUAAAUAUCAAUUGUGUAUUAAAUUCCUGAAAUAUACAAAAAUUUUCAUCAAUAGAUUCCAUCCAAGAUGUUGCCAAACUGACAAUUGGUUCUCCCACUCCAACUUCUAUAUAUUAUCGCCCGCUGAAAUCUCCCAACCCUGAAUACUCUUUUAGUUAAUACCUAUUCUCUGAAUCUAUUGCUCCUAGCAACACUUCAAGCUCUUCAUCCACAAUCCUUCAAUCCAUCCGUCCAUUUUUCACUGACAUUGCUCUCUUUUUGAAAGAGUCCCUUCGUUGCUAAUGUGCUCUACCUUGUCCUCUGUUAUCAAACUAGAAGAGUGUCAACCAAAAUGAAAAAAAGAAAAAAAUAUUUAGAUGGAAUAAGAAUUAAAAUGCUGCCGGUGUCCUUCCGUAAAAGAAAUAGAAAAAUCAGAAAAUAGGAUAAGGAGGAGAAGAAAGGAAAAUGGAGGAUAAAGGGAAGGGACUCCUAAAUUCUUUGAGACAAUUAAUCCACAUAAAAGCCACCUGAUUCCCCCACACCUGGAAAAAUUAUGCAAGCUCAAGAUAAAGUUCUAAUUUAUCCUGGUUGCCUUCUUCUCUUCUAAACUUAGGCACAACAAAUAUGAUGAAAAUAUCUGAGAACUAGCAAAAAGAAGGGGGGUAGGACCCAAUCAUAUCAUGACUAAAUUGUCCAAAUGAAAUUUGAUCUUCAUCAUUCUUCUCUCGUUUCUUCACCAUGACAUCAAAUCCAUGGUCUGCUCAUGAUUAACUAGAAAAUAUCAAGCCCAAUAGGUUUCUGAAGUAAGUGUAAACACAAUUACGAUGACUUCGUAGCACACCCACUUCACAUUUUCUAUUCAAAACAACCAGAAUUUGCAAGUAAAAUAUUCAAAACACUUACCAAAUACGAUAAUAUCAUACAGAAUAGAAAUGAUAAUGGAGAUCGAGAUAGACCAUAAAUUGCAAACAGAACAUACAUUUUCCUCCACCAAGUAGGGCAUGUACCGAUUCCUUCCUUCCAAACAACCAUUUCUUUCUUGAAUUAUGAAACAAGGGCUUCUCAUCAUCGGAAUCCGAAGACGACCCUCGAUAUUCGUGGAUCUUCUCGUUGAUCCUCUCUGAGCCAUCAACUUCCGACAUCUUCACUUGAAUCCUUCAACCAAGACACCAACCCAUAACGAUCAGACUAAAACCUGGACGCGUAUUGCGAGAACAUCGUACCAUUACAUGAAAGAUAUACAUCAAAAGGAAAACGUUUACUACAUCUCGCCUAAAGAAGCAGAAUAUUGGUCUCAGAACGAAAGAAAAUCGAUCCAAGAUGGAAAAAAAUUCAAAAAAAAAAAAGAGAGAAUAGAUCGAUCUAAUAAGAGCGAAGAAUUCGAUCUCACGGGAUGGAUAUCGGAGUUACAAGAGAGGAUUAGGUUCUGAGAUUCGCGCAAUGGCGUAUCUUAUUCUUAGCCUGUCUUCUUCUUCCGUUGGUUUCCCUUCUCUCUCGCACGAACCGAAACGGAAAGCAGAGAGCAGACGGGGAGGAGCCGAGGCCCUCCUUAUAUACGUCUCCGUCGGGAUCAUCGGACGGCUGCCAAAAGUUCUGCUCGCUGCGAUCCGACUGAUGCUAAAGAUUCGACGUUAGUGAUUCUCGACGAAGAACUUAAGCCGUCGGAUUUAUUUGAUGUCGAAGUGGAUUUAACCGCCCGGCUCGAGAAACGGCCGAGAAGCGGGUUCGAAAUUAACUGGUCAGACCAAAUUACCAAAACACCCAAAGAACGAUAGCAUACUCCUAAGAUAGCCAAAGCUAAGAUGGUAAUUUGAGUAAUUCCAUUUCAAAUCAAAUCCCUUGACAUCAAAACACAAGAGAUGCAAUCAUUUUCUCAGUUAAUAACAAUGAGAAUAAUAGCAAAACACCCACACAUAUUAGAAAGAAAAACUUUUUGGACCCAAAAUUUUGGUGUCUCAGCAUCAGCAAUCCACAUAAUAUAUUUCUGAUAACCCAACUCAAAUCUUUAAUUUAAACAGGUAAUGUACAUCCUUACAAAAGACUAAUAUGGAUACAGAGAACGGGUAACAUAUCUAAAUCUGUGCUUUGCAGGUCUGCUUAUUAUGCCCUAGCCCUUGGCACUUGCUGCAGUGAACUGCUCUUUUUAUCACAAUCCUAGGUUCUACAGGCUUUUCCUUUGGCCGGCCGGCCAGCCGGCGGGUACGAGGAGGCCAUGUACUUGCAGCAUGGAAGAGGUUGGUGCAGACCGGCCGACCAACAUCAGGUAUGGGAUUGAUGGACAAUGAAUAAGCUAGACGGUAGCACCCCGUCGAGAAGUACUUGGAACAAUAAUCAUAUAUGCAUUGAUUGGUUUGUUCCAGUACAGCAAGAGCGUGCACACAAGGUAGGCCAGUCACCUGCCAUCGUCUGCAUGUGCAUUCCCUAGUUUCGGUGUUGACGAUUUUGGUCGACUCAUCGCUCACCUCAAACACACUGCCAGCUGAACAAAUCACACCAAGAGAGCGUGCUUUGAUCAUCUCUUCCUGUACCUUCUGAUUUGCGGAGGGUACAAGUGCCUCAGUCCAAGUGUUUGAAGACUCACGGCGGCUAAACAUCAACUCCAUCAGCUUGCACCUCAGGAUGUCAAUUAUCUGCAGUACUGAUGGUUCAUAUCUCGUCGAUACCCAGCUGUUGAAUUUCUCUGUAGCACCAGAUGAGUAAUGACCGUGUCUCGAACCCUUGAUGAAGGCAUCAGACCAGGAUUCUGGUUUCAUGGCCAAAACCCAUUCAGCAAGUUCUUUUGACUGAAUCCUGAUGUUUUCAAUGGAUUCAUUGAACUCAUCAACUUUACAAGCAUAUAUGGCUCUUCUAAGAUGAUCGACCAUUUUAUCCUUCACUUCCUGUGUCCAGGUGUUCUCCAUCUCUGUCAUAAAAUUUUCUAUGAGGCACUGUUCGCUGUAGCAAUGAAAACUGUCCUCAAACACCUUGGACAAUUCCUCCUCCAAGCCAUAUUGACAGCUUGACACAAAAGUGAUGACACGAGACAGAGUAAAAGCAGACUUAAGCUGUACCAAAAACCAAUGCCAAUUCUCCCUUGUCUCAGAAUCUACAACAGAGAAAGCAACCGGAUAGAUAUCAUUCUCUCCAUCAACUGCAGUUGCGACUAGAAACUUCCACUGCUUAUUUGCUUUCAGAGAUAAGUCAUCAAGAAAAAGGAGAGGGCGGCAACCAUGCUCGAAACCAUAAAGUGAGGCAUGAAAGGCAACAAAGAAACGAAAUCUUGAAUCAUCUGAUGUCUGUAAUGUUGCAACACUACCUGGAUUUGUCUCUAUUAUCCUCUCACAGAACCAGGGCAGUUGAUUGCAAGCCUCUUCAUGUGAGUUGUGGAGCUCUUUCUUGGCAAUAAAUUUGCCACGCCAUGCUUGUGAGUAGUUUAAGCUGAGUCCAUAUUCUCGUUGAAGAUCAUUUGCAAUAUCCAUUGGCUUAUAAUUUGGUGUCUCUCGCAACUUGUCCUUUAUAAUACUAGCAACCCAUCUUUGUGAUGCAAGCCGACGACUUUCCUUACUAAGUUCCUUUCCACAUGUAUGAGUAUCAUUUAUUUUCUUAAUCAUAAAUUCUUGUUUGGCAGAUGACCUAGAUGCAUGUAUUCUCCAUGGACAACCCUCAAUAGUACAUUCAGCAGUUACCCGAGAUCUGUCAUUCUUAAUAAAUCUAUACAUGAAACUAUUUGCAAUGGCGUACUUGUGCAAUGCAUCACGGAAGGCCUUUGGACUAGACAAUACCUGACCUACGCCAGUGAUCAUACUAUUCCAAUCGGUACAUAAUCUUCGCCGUUUAGCUUCAUCAAGAGUAUCUAGUGAGGUGGUGUUAGCAUCGGUCAACAUACCUGAGUCAGCCACAACGCUCCUAAUUAUCCUACCAAAAAUAAAUAAAUAAAUCUAAUCACUCUUCUCCUGUUUGAACAACUUUUGCAAUAAAAAUCUGAAGUGUAUGGUACAUACCUGUUUUCAGCUUUCUUCAGGAUAUAUAUGUCAGUUGUAUCUGAAUUUGCAUUAAAAUUAACCAUGCGUCGCAGGUCUUUGUCGUUAGAUAUUGUGAUGAGAGUCCGUUUGUUUCUUGGAAGGAAGUACUUAAUUGAAAAUAGUUCAGCAUUGAUGUUAAACAUAGAAGAUAUCUCUGACUUCAAAUCAUAGAGUGACAUUUCACUGUCAACAUCAAUUGCAUGUGCGUCACCACCAGAAUAAGACAGGGUUCCAUCAUUAUUUGUAACAAAUCCUCCACCAGAUUGGCAAAUAGCUAGAAUUUUCCCUCUUCCCAUGGUAUAGAACAAUUCUUACAGCCACUUCAUGAAUCUGAGUUAAUGAUGCAAAAACAAGCACAAAAUUAAACAAAAUAUGAAUAGAACACCAACCUCAUGGAAUAAUUAAAAAAAUGAAUAGAAUUAAAUAUAGCUAGAUAUUUUAUGUUCUUCAAUGAUGGAAACUAUGUCCAGAAGUCGAUUCAAUGAGUAAAACUCGGAAUGCUUUCUUCACUAGCUUUCGGCCAACUUCAAGUGCAAGCUUUGCAGGACUGGUGUAAGGCCAUCUCAGUAAGAGUAAAUUUUAAGUGGAGAGUCUGAAACCCUUCUAAUAAAAUUGUCUUUCUAAUUAGUUAGUCUCUUGUUUUAAGAUUCUACCUAGCUGAUUACGAAUUAUCCUUUUGAACAUAAAAUAUCAUUAAAGAAAUUACUGAAUUUUGCUUCUUUUGAUGCUUAUUAAAGAAAUGUAUUCUAUUUUCAUUGCCAAACCCAUAUUUAUUUGUUCUAAAAUGAAUUUUUCUAAACAAUUUUCUCGUUAUACCACUAGAAAAUUGCUUACUAAAAUCUAAUUUUGGAUGGCAGGGUAACGAUGAUCUUCCUGACCCUUCAGAACUAUUACAAUUCUCUAUCAAAACUUGGAAUCUUCAUGUUUGAUUCAACAAUAAACUAAGUUUUUUGCUAAAGCUCAUUUUAUUCAAAUUACAUUAACUAAAGUCCAAGUCUGACAUUGAAAUCAGAGAACCUACCAGAAUUUAUCUUUGAUUGAUUUUGUCCGUCACUUCCACUUAUGGAAACAAGAACUUGAGUAUAUAGUUGUUUUGGCUUUGCAUUGCAAAUAGCAUAGAUCUGGAAAUUUCUAUGGAUUUGAAUUAUACCACAAGCCGUAGGGAUUACUGUUUAAUUCCUUGAUUAGGGCUUCUUCCUACCUAAUACUUGCCAGUUAGACAACAAUCCUAAAUGUUGUUGUCAUGGUCUAUCAACCAUAUGCAAUUGAGGCAUAGAAGUGAGCACAGAUAUCACUGAUUAUUAAAGUGGAGUCCCAGUGUCCCACUACCAGCAACGAUUUAUAUUGCCCUCGCCGAGCAUGGAGCAAUUUCUAUGCAAAGCAACAAGUUGAAUUAUCCAAAAUAAUACAAGCCAUUGUAGCUCAUAAAACAAUAAACAACUUAUACCUACGCAUAAAGAAAUAGAGCAUUAAAUCAAAAGAUUCAUGCAGCGGCAUCACCACUGAAAUUUAGUUAUUUCAUCGAACUCUGUCAAGCGACUCUAACAACCUUUCAUUUUAGACCUUCCAGAAUGAAAUUAAUUGGACAAUCUAUAUUGUCUGUGGUCCUAGACACCCAUUACGAGACCACACUGACGCUUAAAUGUGCCUCAAAACUUCUAAGCAAUUUCUGCAUCAUUUUAAAUAUUUUAAUUGGUAGCAAAAUAAUCUUGUCAAAUCAUAUAGCAGCUCUGCACUAUAUCGAUAUGUUACGGACGCACCACAUAAGCAAACUAACCUGCUAUCCUAAAUGCAUAUGAAUACUACAGUUAAUAUGCAUCUUGCACCAAGGUUGAAAUACAAGAACUAAGUUCAGUUCCAAUCAGGUAUUCGGAGUUUAGGUUAGGUAUCUUCAACAGCUUUGUCAAGGUUCAGAGUUUAAGUACAAAUUAUCAAAGCAAGAACUGCAUGAGGGAAUAAUAAUGGAAAGACAAAGAAAGAAAGGAAACAUAUUGCACCUUCUUAUGUAUGUUGCCUAAACUAGAAUCUACAGAUUCAGUUGUUUUAUUCUAAUAAAGAAAUGUAUCUAAUAAAAUGUAUGUCAAAGCUACCAUCUCUUUAAAGUUUAAACAAUCUACUACUGAGACCAAGCAUAUGCAACAAAGAAAAAUAAUGGUCUUGAUGCAUGGUUACGUCUAGUAACUUAAGAUUCCCCUUAGCGUGUGCCACACCUAACUAGAAAGAACCACAAUGAUCCCCAACGGAUGGAGUAAAUCGCAAUCUGUGUUGGUCAGGGCUGACCAGAUUCGCAUAAUUCUCAACUAAAUCAACAGAAAAUGGUGAAACCAAUCUCGAGUUGAACACGAAUACCAGCUGAAGAGCUCGCUAACUAUUGUCAAUCUUGUCUGUCUUCAGAAAGCCCUUCAGUAAAGUUAUAAUUAACAUGUUCCGGUUAACAAGAAAUCUUUUUUUUCAUUUGAGGGAAAACAAAAGAAACAUACUCGCCUUGCUAACUUUUUUCCUCCGCGACCGUACACAAAAGAGGUCCAUAGGCAUGAAAAUCCACAAAGACAAAUCGACAAGAAGACUUAUUAUGCUGAUACGGAUUAUAGUUCAUUCGAGAUGAUUAUUUUAGGAGAUAAGUGUAGCCGAAUCACAAGCAAAAGGAAACUAGCACCCGGCGACAGAAUCAAUACUGCUUUUCUCCUUGAGCCUACCUUUCCUCGGGGAAUUGAUCACCGCCAAGAUGGAGAACGUUUGAGAUUAUACCCCAGGGAGUCGAAACCCAAGAAAGAAGAGAGGCUAAAUACCGAAAUAAAUUGUAUAUUGUUCGGUCCUAAUUCAAUAAAUUCCAAGAAAGCGCAAAAAGAGGAAAGAUCUUCUUGGUCAAGAGAACUAGAAGGAUUCAAAUGACUGGAUACCCCAAACCAAAAUAAAACCAGAUCUAUCAAGAUUCGGCAGCUAACUCCUGGUCGCCAUACUAAAUAAGCCCGCAAGGCCCAGGAUCUUCGAAUUCAGCAAUGAUACCAGCAAAGAAAUUGGCAACAGAAAGAAAAAACAAGAAGUGAGAACUUAGGAAUCGGCACCUGGAAACCAGGCGAUGGUCUCCCCAGAGGAGAUGAUUCGCGAUCCAGAACGACCAAUCGAGAACUCGCUUUCAAGAUUUAGGCUCCCAAAUCGAUCAACCAAACCGGAGGAACCAAUAAAUAAAAAAAAUCCAGAAGAAAUCGAGGACAAAACCACAGUGUCGAGGGAAGGGGGUUUAGAAGUCGACGGAAGCCGAAGGGUUAUCCCAAACCGAAAGGGAUCACCACAUAAUAAUCUUACGGUCCAGCCUGAUAGAUCAAGGCCCGGUCCGGAAUCGCGGACUGAUAAUUCAGACCCAAGGAGGACCGGACCGGACCGAACCGGGUAAAAACUUUAAAGCGGCACAAAAAUUAAAGCUUUAGGCAUAGGUUUUCAAUUAGAAAGACUGGGAUUUCUUGGGACCUUUACCUCCAUUGCAACGGCUGUGCCGAAUACAAAGGAGUAAUCAACCCCAUAGUCUUUUUGAUAGAUUAUGUUUGUGACACAUGUGAAGCAAUUCUAGUAGCUCCGGCGAUGUAUCUCUCAAAUGCUAAACCUAGAACCUGACAUGGUAUCUCCUACCGACCACACACCAAAGACAUAUCCUCGUCAACAAGUAUUAGACCUUCGAGAGUACAACCUGGUGACAAGAUAUAGGAAGGGAGGUUGAAAGGAUUAACUUAAUACAAGAUGCCCAUUUUUUUUUUUUGCUCUCUAGAGAAUAUCCUGCCUGUUUUCUCAAAAUACGAAACACACUAGUAGAAAUAAUAGAAAGAAAAAAAAAAAAAAAACAACUCCUUAAGAUGGUACCAAGAGACUGGCAGCAGAGUUAAAGCGAUCGCAACAACUGCAAAAGUCACUCAUGGAUGCACACACAAGUACAUUAUUUGUCUAAACUUCUGAACAUAGGUUUUAUUAAUAACAAUGUGUGGUAAAUAUGAACUAUAUACAUAUCAUAUACUUGCUCUUGCAUCUAUUCUGUUUAUAUUUCCUGAUACGGGGGAUUAUAGAUAUAGUGGAUAUAGAAUAUGCGCCCAUGGGCUGUCUCAACAAAGCUCAACAGCAUUUUUAGAGAUGCUUCCCCGAAGAUCCAGAGAGAGAGAGAGAGAGAGUUUAACAGUGCCAGAACACAAGAUCGUCCCUGCAUCUUCCAGAACACAGUCUGGCAUUAGAGGCAAUAAGUUAAUCUCGCCAAUGCAGGAAUCAGAAUAGCUGGAAGAACAAGGUCGUCGAACCAUCACUAAAUGACCUCAGCCCUGCCGGCUUAACCAGAACUCUGCACAAUGGGCAUGUCCUUUCUCUUUCAAACCUGAAAAGUUUAAUGGUGGGUCAUGAAUAAGCAAAUUCAAGACAAUUCCUACUCAAACAGACAGACAUGAAACCUGGAGAUAUAAAAGAUAAUUGCGGAAAACUAAACUGUAUAAUCAAGAUCACACACAAGAAGGAAUUUGGGCAACUUGUUCCUCCAAGGCAGGCAAAGUGGUGACAAUUUAAAACAACCCAAAAUACUACGGGAAAUAUUAGUGGGAGAAUCUUUAUGUAGUCCAAAUAAUUUUUCCUUUUAUUUGGACACUCCAUGUAUUUUUUAAGUAGAGCCACGUAUUAGAUCACAGCCAACAGAUGACAAUUAGAUCUUAGAAGUAUUGCUGUUUCCAACAUCCUAUAAGACUGCUUGUAAAAAAAUCCUAAAAACAAAGAAAAGCAAACAAAACUGAAAAUGAUGAGGUGAAUAGACACGUUACCAUUCAGAGACACAGUCUUCACAGAAUAUGUGUUUACAACGAAGUAGAAUAGGAACAUUCAUCUUCUCUUGGCAAAUGGCACACAGAUCACCAGCUGCAAUUACCUGAAUUUUUUACAUAACAAGUAAAUCAAGCAUCACAUUGUCACAAAGGCACCAUUGAUUUUGUUUUGGCUUCAAUGCCAGCAGAGCUGAUUUACAAUUGCAGAUUGUUCUUGCAACAAAAGUAAUUGCAGAAAUGAAUAUGAUACCCUGAAGUUUGGCCACUCUAGAUAGGAAAUAAAGUAUCUUCUGCUAGUAUUUCAAAAGCACUCUCUCAAGAAUCAUUCUUUUUACAAGCAUGAAAUCAAAUAUAAAUGUGCAAAUUCAAAUUUUCACUAAAAAGAAGGUGCACGUAGUUAACCUAAUUCUGAUAUCAAUAUAAGAGCUUAAUUGAAUUUCUUUCCUUAAUAUUUGCAACACUAAGCAGAGAUUAAAGACCAUAUUUAUCAGAUACAUAAUUAAGCUCAUAACUGCAGAAGCAUUCGUUAGGUCUCUUAAUGGCAAAAACUAUGCUAGUUGAAUACUUAAAUCAUUGGAGAGAUGUACACAAUGUUAGGGACAUCCUCCAAGUACAAUAAAUAAUUGUUACAAGUGACUUUCUCAGACUAACACAAGUCACAAGCUAUUUCAUUAUGAUUUAACAGGAAAUAUGCCACCCAACUUCAGGACAUGACCCAAUCCUUGAAAGAAUAUAAAAUCAAUAAUGUCCCAUAUCUGACCAAAAGAUCUAGCUAGAAGUUAGAUUUCAGAUUCCUUGAUUCAUACAAGAACCUAGAUUUUCUAAUGGAAAUCUCACGGAUAACAUUAAAAAAAAAGUUCUCAUCACAACCAUGGGAAUUAACAACGGUCAUCCUCAUAUAAACCACAAAGUUGCCCAACAGUAAGCCCUAGUACAAUGACGUUAGGGUUGAAUGAUCAUGGGUUAGCUUCAGUUGGCCUUGUAGGCUUGCACCUAGUUAUACAAGACAGGUUGGACUCAAAUGCCAUUUUGGCAAUCCAGAACCUGAACUAAAACUUGAGUAAAGGUUAUUAUUUGGGCUUCCUAAGUCUUUAUCUGUGUAUGACAUAUGCCAAAUUCAGGUUACAAAUUUUGAUGGUUAAACAUGUAACAGCCAAGAUUUCUUUAUCACCAAGGGCAGCUAUCCAGAAGGUGAGGUGCUGCUAGCUUACUGGUAAAGAGAUCGUUGCAUGGUCUUUGGGAUCGAAUCCAGCCUCCGCCACUCACCCUUUGCGAUAAAGAGCAGACAUCCAUACCAGAACAAAGAAUACGAAGUAGAAUGCCUCAAUGCCCCGCAUAUUGUUGGUGUUUGAGUUGAUUAAAAUAUAGUAAAUUGAAUGGGACAUAUUUUAGCACAGUUUAAGAAUUAUGAAAUCAUUUUCAGACUUUCUAUCAGAUAUAAAGCUGCUGUUCUGAUCCAAAAGUGUUAAGUGAGGACUAUUGCUAACGUCACAGUUUAUGCUAGCAAUAACUGCAUGCACAAUUUCAGGCAAUUCACUUAUGUCCUUUGUCUAGGCUAGUAGCUAGGAACCAGCAGUGGGAUCUACAUGAGGUGAAUAUGCAUCCCUUUUCCCUAUUCCAACACUUCCAUGGAGCUCAGUCAUUACUUUUCUUCCCAAUUCUACAUAAAGUAAGAUUUUAUGUUAUUCUAUAUCCAACCUCAGAGUGAUGAGAGAAACUUAAUAUUAUAAAGAUGACUUAUGUUAAAGAAUCAUGAUAUCAGAUGAUCAUUCUUUUGUCAUUACACAUGUUUAAAGUAGCUAAAUAAUACAAAGAUAAAAAAAAAAAUAGUCCUCGAUGAUGGAAAUGAUCAAAUUAAAUAACUAAAUAACAGGGAUCUAGAAGCGAAGCUAUUGUAAGACAGCCAAGGAUUGGAAAUGAAGGCAUGGCAAUAUAUGUCACCAAAUUUAAUACAUAAGCUAUCGGUAUAUGAAUUUGAGCAAAAAAGUACAAUACAAUUUGGUGAAUUGCAGACAUAUGAAUAAUCAAUUAUCAAAAGUUCAGCAAUAACAAAUUGUGGCAAAGGUCUCUAUCGGUGUUGCAUGUAAUUAAAUAUAUAUUAGACAGCGAAAAUACAUCUUAACUAAGGCUAAAGCUGUAAAUCAUUUGACAAAGAAUGAUAUUCAACUACAGUAAGCCUAAGAAAUAAAAUAUUGAAACAAAGAAUGAUAAACAACGACAUUAAGCCUAAGAUAUAAAAGAUUGAAAUGAUCAAGAGUUCACCUGUUCAGACGUUGCAUAAGACCCAUAAUGUACUUCUUUACGUGAUAGUGCCUUCAAUGCAGCAAAAAAUGAUUGAACCUGAAAUCAGAGAGUUGGAAAUAUCAAAGAAGAUACAUGUUUUUUGUGGAAAUGUAGUUUGUUCUGUCAAGCUGAAAAGUUCAGCUUGAUGAGCACUUUCAAGAUCAAUAUAACAAGUACCAGAAACUAGCAUUCAAUAAAGUAUACCACACCUGCUCUACAACUGAUGUCAGCUUGAAAGUAAGAUACAGUCCAGUAGUAAGAGAUGAAAACAGGCUCCCAUAUUCCUUGUUCAGGAAGAAUCGGUACCAAACAGCAGUUGGCAAUAAAGAGCGGUAUAAAAGUAGAAAGUACUCUACAAGAGUUAGCAUUUGACCCUAAUAAAGAGAACAAAGAAAGGAAAUGUGAAUUAACAGAAGCUGAAACUUUCCAAAAGUCAAAUAUUUUAAGUACAAUAAAUGUGAAUCAUUAUACAAACAAGAAAAAACCAAAACAUAAAAUUGGCUUUAUGCAAUACUAUGAAUUUCAUUGUCCAUCUAUUGGAAGUUGCAAUGUAUAAGAUGUCACGAGUUUGAAUGAAAAAUAAGCGUUGACAAUGAACAGAUACAGAAUUCCAAAAGAAUAAUGAAGUUAGGACUAUUGCUAACAUAAUAAAGAACAGCUAAUAAGGUAACUAAAUACAUUUAGAGAAUUAGCAUUACUAACUUCACCAACUUAUCAAAUUAAGUGGAAAGAAACAAUGCAUACCAAAUUUUUGAGUGGCAAAUAUGCAAGCUGGAAAUAAUUUCACUAGAAAGCAAAGAGGAAUUUUAAUUUCACUAGAAAUCAACUGUGAUUUGAUUAUAAUUAUAUAAAAUCUACAACAUCUAAUAAGAUUUCAGCUUUGCAGCAGUCUUCCCAAUGCAAUGACAAACCUGAAAACUAAUUGAACUCAUGGGGAUAGUCAACAAGAGGAUUAGUACAAGAAUCAUCAUAUCAACAAGCAUAUUUGACCAGUCUUCGGACAAAUCAAAAAGCAACCAUCUUAGGAAAGACAAACUCAACACUUGAAAUGAUAACUGAAAAAACCUACAGUUUUAGAACCUAUAAAAAGAGGAGAGUAAAAGCAGGAAAUGGGAGGGGAGAAACAGAAGCUGUCCUUUGAAAGGUCAGAAGCCUUGAACAUCACUAUUUGGUAAAUAUUCAGAAAACUAAUGAUAUUUUCAUCCAGCCAUAGAGACCUCCAAUUUAAUUGGAAAAUCAAGACCAUCUUAGCUUCACUAAAACAGAUGGGUCUUUGAGAUCACCAGUUAAAAGUUCAUAUAUCAUGAUAACUACCUAAAAAUUUUCUUGAUGUGCAGAACAAAUUCACUUUCAAGCUAGUGCUAGCUACUAGAUAUGUGUAAAUGUACAUGGUAAAACGAUUACUUUCUAAUGCAAUACCAACUAGGUAUUUAUAUCUGUUACUAAUUACAUUGUUAGCCAUCUAAAUAUUGAAGGAUAAUUGAUAUAAAAAGGACAUGUAAUUAUUAAACAGUCAUAUAACAGAAACAUGAAAAAAAGGCUUACCUGCUUACGAUAGCUACGGCCUUUAAAGUUUUUGUAGUAUAUCAAGAGAAUACACUUCACAACCAUAGCUGCUUGGCGCAUCACUACAUCUGGACAGUAAUACUCAGUGAGCAAGUUGUGAAGGAAAUUCUUCAUGACCUAAUAAAUACAGGAAAUAUCUAAAACUAGACUAAGACAUAGUUUUAAAGGAGAAUAUAUUUGGAAAGCAAUAAACCUAUGACUCAUUCAAUUUAGACAAAUAAAACAUGCUUAAUACUAGCAAUCCAUAAUGAUGAAGUGUCAAGUCUUUGCUUAUAUAUGUUUAUAUUCCUAAAUGGAGGCCAAUGAAUAUGUGUUUAAAUGAUUCUGACAAGAUUAACAAUUCCUGAUGGAAUGUUCCGAACAUGUACCAAGCAAUCAACCACGUCAAACGGAAUUGUUUGCGACAGAAAUUUAUGCAUUGCAUCAAGAAAUAACUCAUCUCAUAGACUUCCUAAUAAUGAAUCUUUGAUGGGAAUAGCAGCAAAGAAAGUUUGUAGAUACAGACAAGAAAAAAUCAUUCCACAAGACACAAGUGGAUUAAUCUUAGUCCAAAUGACAUUAUAUCCUCCAUACAAGUUUCCCCUCUUUAAAAUAUGAGAGCAUUGUUAUUAAACUUGGACCUCAAGUUUAAUAAAUUUUGGAGGAAGCACUUGAAAGUAUUCUAGUCUUUUUGUUGGACUUUUUUUUGUGAGUGUGUUACCUGCCCCCUCUCUCUAAUUGUCCCCUCUAUCAUCAUUUUCCUCUGUCAUUUCUGUUAGUGUCCUCUCUCGAUCCUUUGUUGUCAUCCUCUAUUUUCCCUUUUUUUUGUCCUUUAUUUAGCUCUCCAUCGUUGCUCUUUUCACCAUCGCCCUUUUCAUGGCCACUUUCUAUCUUUUGGUCAUCGAUUUUCUUGAAUUCAUUUAUAACUUGCAGUCCGACCACUUCACUUACUGGUCCAACCAGUGAAUCAAUAACCUGAUGCUUAGCAUGGAUGAUGUUCGAACCGAUCUCAUAAUUAGGUCCUCUAGUCUAAAGAUUGACAAAGGACUCUUUUUGUAGAAAUUGAUCAAAACUGAGUAAAAAGGUUAAGCUUCAUUUUUCUUGUAGAUGCAUAUACCAAUUUUAGGAACAUGAAAUACAAAGAUUACCAGUUUCCUGUUAAAAAAUUGUGAUUAAUCUUUUAAUAAGCACUCGACAAAGGGCUACCCAUAAAUACACCCAUGAUUGGAUCAAUUAUUGCCAUACUUCCAAUUGGAUCAUAUAUUAGUACACCUUGCAAUUCAAAAUUAUCUACUUGAAUACCACCUUAAUUUCUUGUCACAUAGCACUUUAAGUCUCAAACAAACAAAAAUCAUUUAGAUGUACUGUACGGGGACACUUUGGGACAUUAUAGGUGGCUUUUGUUGUUGAGUUGAUGAGAAUUGAUUAUCACUGCUGCAUGAUAUGUUAGUGUUUGUGCAUUCCAGCUCCACAUUGACAUGAUACAACCACCACCAAGUUGCGAAAUCAUUCCCCUGAUAUUUCAGCAUGACAUAGUCAAGAUGAAGUUAAGCAGCCAAGAAAAGAACUAAGCAAAACACACUAGCACAAGGAGAGGAGACAAGAAAAUCCUAGAUACUGCUAAACUAGAGAAAUACAAAGAUAUAGGCUUGAAUCUUGAUCAAUCCAUUUGCAACACUACUUAUGAAAGGAAGAUUGGGAACCAGCUAUGGCACUGUAAGGUAAAUAAAAAUGAAAAGAUAUGUGAACAUAAAAAUCACUAACUUCCUUCAGAUUAUUUUUUCAAGGAGUAGACAAAAAUCCAUAUAGUAUAAACUAUAAAGAGGACACAGUUGGAUAGUGAAUUACAUUUUCAUAGAACCAUAUAAGUUAGAAUAGCAGCAUCCACUUCCCAUGUGCAAGACAAGAGAACAAUUAAAUUUGACAAAUAAUGAACUAGAGGAGUCUUCACAGCUGGAGAAAUAUCACUAAACAUACCAAAGCUGUACAAAGAUUUAGGUUAUAGACGAGACUAAAUAUCUCAAUGUAUAAUAAGCAGGUUCAAACAAAACAGAAUACCAAGAGAAGAUUACUCUCAGCAAAGUGGAUAGUGGAUACCAUUAACCAAUAUAAUAAAUACGGCAUGCCAAAAUCGUGGUAUUUCUUUUGGAGGAAGCAUAAUUAGUGGAUACAAGAGAUCAUCGUUCCUGUACCACCAGUAGAUGCCAAAUACGUGUACCAUGCAGACCAGUAUAAUUCCAACAAUCACAGAUAUUUUUCGCUCUCCCUGCAAAGACAACAACCAGUAGAAGUGUGACUGAUCCGAUUAUUAGUAGAUGCCAUUAGCCUACCAAUACUUGAAUAUAUUCCUUGAACACCAACAUCACUGAAAGGUUGACUUUAUUAAUCUUCACGCAUGCUGAAUUUUAGAAGUACUGGUCUUAAAUGAUUACCUAAUAGCUACGUCAAUUCAGUCAUCUAACAAGGAAAUCUGCAACAGUAAGCUUUAACAAUGCAGAAAUUAACAGUUUCCUCAUUAGCACAUCAUAUUGUUCCCAUCUUAUCGGCUAUAUGCUAUAGUCUAGUGUUGUUGAAAACAAAACUUAAUAAAUUACACUGUUUAUGAGGACAACAUGUUAUCAGUCAUGUUUAAAAGGUGAAGCACAAAAUCAUGAUGUUCGAAAGGAAGAGUUGUUUGAUAAGGGCUCUCCUUGGUGAAAUUUUACUGAAGCAAUUCACAUAACUAAACAUUUGUUGGGUUCACAUUCACCCCAAAAAUUCAACCUAACCUAGUUGGGACUUGGGAGAAGGGUCAGAAGUGUUGGCACCAAAAUUAAGACAGCAUACUUGAAGACAUAUGAAUCAGUAUUAAUAUACAUAUCUCGUCAGUGUAAACAUCCUCUCAGCAUUACCUACAUAUGUUUCCAGCAAUGUGAGAAAUCUGAUCACGAACAGAAGUACAUGGGAAACAUAGGGAGACUAGUCAAUAAGCAACAAGAAAAAGAAAUCAUGGGAAAAAUGCCAUACAAUUAUGAAGAUCAGUACAAAUACACAGAGAAGUUUUCACAAAUGUCUCAACAUAAUGCUGAAAAGAAAAUUACACUGUGAAUUGUGUAUAGGAUAAAAAAAGUUGUUGUGUAGAGAAGUAACAAACCUUUAAAGCAGUCUGUUUUCUCAAAACAGCAUUGGACUUAAACAUCACUGCUGAGAUCCAAAUAGUGACCAAGAAACCUGUAGUUUUCAAGAAAAUUAACAUUCAAAAGUCAGGUAAUAAGUGAACAAGCCAAUUUGUAUCCAGUGAUCCAGAAGCAUAGAAAAUUAGGUCCAUAAUGACAGCUACUCCAACAAAAGUACAAUACAAAUAUAAAGAGAAACAAAAAAAAAAGUUAUACAAAUCAAAUCAAUAAUGACAUUCUUAAAAAUGACACUGCCUAUAAGCCAUGAACAUGUUCCACAUCAAUAAUCAAAAAGCGCACAAUUGGAAGAAAUAACAAAGCAAAACAAACAAAAGCACUUCUAGAACUUGUCAUAGAGCAGUGUUUACAUGUAACACACAACUGCAAAGGAAACAACAGCAUAAGUUUUAAGCAAACACUACAGCAUAAUAAACACACAAAAUGCUAUCUUGGAAGGAAAAGGAUGCAAACAUGUAUAUUGCAAAUUUUGAGACGAUAAAACCGAGGCAUCAGCAAAAUGAUCAUAAUUCGAGCAUCUCCAUCAGACAAUUCUCAAAGUUUCUCAACAACACUAACGAAAUAACAGAUGCGAACAUCCUUACCCUGCAAAUGCUGUCUGAUAAAGACUACCAAAAGAAGCAACGAGAAUGGCAGUAUCUGCUCGAUCCAUUUAGCGAUCCGUUGUAUAUCAUAUCUCUGAUACGACGAAUCCCUGUUGUUACCUGUCAUGUUCACAUCACCAUCUGCGCUGUGGCCGCCAAAUGCGGAGUCAGAUGUCGGCACAGAAGAAGACGGCGAGGCCCCCUCUCCAACCCCAUUAUCACUUACUCCAUCUCCUCCCUGCCUCUCGGAUGAAGCAGCGAUCAGCUCACCAGGGACAACAACACCAGAAUUCACCUCUCCACCGGGACCCAGAGUCGAACGAUGCAGCUGGCUCGACGCCACCCGGAGGCUCUCCUGAUCGCCAGCCCCCACUAUCCUUAUCGACACCUCCCCACCGCCGCCGGUGGGGGACGUGGAAGACUCGUCCACCCGGGCAGGACCAACCUCUGGCAGCGGUAAUCCCCCGCCGAUCAAUCUCUCGCUUUCCGAUUGGCUCGCUUCGGGCCGCAAGAUCCCGGAGUACUCCAGGAGCGCCGACAACGGUGCCUGGAUGAGAUUAGACGCCGAGUAAGGGAUAACGUACCUCCUCGAAGAGCCGCCUCCGGCACUACCGGAGGAAGGGGUCCUGUAAGGAUCAGAACCUCCGCUGGGGGUAUCCAUCACCUGGGAACCGAAUCGGACCAAGAAAACCUCAGAAAGUGCGUUGAGAAACGGUGAUCGAUGUCUAGAAGGAUCCUUGUCGGAAAUUAUGGGAGAGAGCCGGGGCUGGAGCAAUGUAGGAGGGAUCUCUUGCGGGGAAUUCAAAAACCCUAAUUCGAGGCGUGGGAAAGGGGGAAGGAGGAGGGUUCUUGGAAGGACGAGGAGGAAAACAGGAGGACGAAGCAAGAGAGGGUAGGAAGGAAGGCCGCGUCAAAUAAAUAGGGUCUCUUCUAUUCCCUCCCUGUUUGGUGUCUCAGUCCGCGUAGUUGUUACACGCCGUGCCAUUACCAUGUCGUACUGAAGCACCCGGAGUGCCUUUCAGGGGUGAUGUCAUCCAUCUCCGACGCACCAAUGGCGUUGCUACUGUUCGUCCUGCCCUGUCGCCCAUGAACUGCCAUUUCGCUGAGCCGUCCCGAGUCACCCAUGGAAUAUUCCAUGGGUUACGUCAUCGCUGACGCAUCCAAGGCGUUGUUAUUGUUCGUCGUCCCCGGCCAUCAAUGAACUGCGGUUUCACUGGUCGUACUCAGUCACCCCUGGAAUCGUACAUGGGUGAUAUAACCUCUGAUGCAUCCAAGAACUGAGGGGUAGUACUUCUGCCAGCAAUAUCGUCCAGGGGUGACGGAGUCUGUCUUCGUCGAACAAAGUUACAGCUGAACAAGAUUGUGUUAUACAGGGCAUUUUUACUGCUUCAAUGUUUUAAGGUGGAUGAAGACUUGAAUAAGAGUUUAACCAGUACAGGGACGAAGCAGGCUUCACUGUGCAUGGGGGGUGACCACCCGCUGGUCCUGCAGUUGCCUCACUGCGGCCACUUCACGUACCUGUUGCUACACUUAAUAGCGUAAACCUAAAUUUAUUGAUGAGUUAUGGACGACACAGCAUCAAAUAUGGCACCCGUAUAACCACCACGUGCAAGACAAAUCCAUCAAACGUCGCACCAGCAAUACAUGAGCAUCAUUAGGGAUGAAGACAAAUCAAUCAUAGUAUCUGAAAAGCUUAACCAUUUCGAGUUUAAAAAAAUAGGCCAUAUGUAAUCCAAAAAUGAGACCUCUAUCAAACAGUAAAUAAAUAAUUGAAAAUAAAGAAAGAUUCAACCAACACAUUAAAAUGACGUCAGUCACAAAAUUAAGUCAACUUUUUACCAGUGAUGUUCCACCGACACCUUCUAGCAGAGUUUUUACCUUAAACUGACAGAGAAGCUACGCUUGGUGAUACAGGUCUUGAAAACAGAGAAUAACUGAACCAGGAUAAGAUCAACAAGGGGGUAAUUGGUGAUCCGCGACGUCAAUGAACGAAAACACACAAACAAGAGCAACAAUGAUCAAGUUAAACUGCCAAAUGAAAAGAGUUUUCAUAUGCCCCAGAGUCAUACUGACAACAAAAACAAGCAGAAAUAUCCUUGCAAAAUUAACUGAAAAUGACAGUCUUUAAAACAGAAAGCAACUAACAAUGCUUGCAUAAUAUUCCAGCAAAUGAUUCUAAGAAGUUUCCGCAACUGCAGCUGGUAAGAAAGCCUUUCCAGGACGGCGAGCAGCAAGUGGACCAUGGCAUCCAAGUAACUGCACAACCAGACAUCUCGUUAACAGAUUGCUUUAUAAACGGCAGAUGAUGAAAUAAUUUCUCAGAUAAUAAAUAUCUGAUGUAAUUUCCUAUCAUUAUGGAAUACUGGAAAAAUAAUAAGAUGCCAAUUCUACCCAUGGAGAAGGAUAGGGACUAACAUGAUGGGCAGGAAUAAUUUCUCUUAAUGACAAUUCAAGACACAUAAGGAGGAAAAAUAAAACAAAGCCAAUAUGACAAAAAAAAAAUUGGUUUGACAAAGCCACAAUCCUUUUAAGGUAAAAGAUCAUCAGCUCUGGUUCAAAUAUCUUCCUUCCUUUUCCUACACAAGCAUAAAAAAGGCACAUAUAUAGGUACCAUUGGAUAGUCUACCACAAAUAACAUGGAGAAGGUGGAACAAGUAAAUCUAAAGACCUAAACUGUUAUGACAAAGGAUAAAAAUUAGGAUUGGUGCAUUUCAUGAUCUGUACAAUGGCAUGGAGUAGCCCAGCCAACCGCAUGUAAAUUGGGUGUGACUACCGAAUGUCCCCUUUUUUGUGUCUUAAGUAAUAUGGUUAAGAAUAAAAAAAGUUGCUGGCAAGGCAAGUCUGUUGUGAGGGUGUCACCAAAUACUUUCAUCCACCCAAUUUAUACCUCCACAAUUUCAGAUGAAACAGUACUUACCUUAGCAUUGACACCAUCUGGGGCAAUUCUGUUCUCACUCUUCCACUUCAAAUAGUCAGCACGACUAAACUUAGUGAAGCCCCUGAAAAUUAAUUUGUUGAAUCAGAACCGAUAGAAGAACAUAGGAGACGGAUCUCCAAUGACUACACAAUAGCCCAAACAUUAUGCUCCUUAGCAUCUCCUAACCAGAGAUAAAAGGCUAAAUCUUUGUUUGAGAAGACCUAUAGUGACAAUGAAUUUAGAAAAUAACAAUAAUGCUGGAUGCAUUAGCAUUAGCAAUUUAAAGCGGAUAGAAAGUUUCCUUUUGUGAGGCUUACCACUUUCCACUGAUGAUAAUCUUUUGACGGCCAGGGAACUUGAACUUCGCACGUCGUAGGGCCUCUUGGGCAUUAUUGCUAUUGUUAUCUUUGCAACGAACAGAGAGGAGGACUUGACCAAUGCUUACCCUAGCACACGUCCCUUGAGGCUUCCCAAAGGCCCCCCUCAUCCCAGUCUGGAGCCUAUCAGCUCCAGCGCAAGAAAGCAUCUUGUUGAUACGUAAAACAUGGAAUGGAUGCACUCUCACUCGUAGGUGGAAAGCAUCCUUUCCAGCAAACUUUGUCAUAUAUUUGUUACAUGCAAUACGAGCAGCCUCAAGAGCCUCGCUGGAAACAUUUUCCUUUUCCCAGCUCACCAAGUGAACACAGAAGGGAAAUUCAUCCACUCCUUUCUUCUUCAUUCCAACAUCGUAGAUCCUAAUCUUAGGAUCGGGAACACCACGGCAGUACCGAGAUUUCGGGUAUGGUUUGUUCUUAAUCUGACGAUAGCAUCUUGCAGGUCCUGCAUGAGGAAUAAAAAAAUUAAAAUUUUCAUUCGAACCCUAACGAUGAGAAUUAACAAUUGCAUAAUUGAUGAAUAAUUUUUGGAAAAUCAGAAAAGGAAAAAAAAUACGAUCAUCAGAUACCAAAACUCAUCUCAAGAUUUACUCUAUCCAAAGGGAAAGCAUAUUGGAUCUACCUCUUCAAGUGAAUGCAUUUACUAUGUGCAAAUUUGAAUAAAGGAUAGGGAUAAUAGCCAGUAACUAAUAAGAAAUUCCAUUGGGGAUGAAGUAUAUCAUUUUAAAACUAAAAACUUCAUGAACAAAAUUACUAAAGUGCAUAUUGCAAACUCUUUUUUUUUUAAUGGACCCCUGCUUUCUCCUCAAACUUCUUGUUAAGUAGACCCCAAUAAGUGAAAAAUAUUAUCAUACGGAUCACACAUAUGGCCUUGUAAAUUUCAAAAGUCACAACAAAAUGAACAAACAACUUUAACCACAGAGGGCAAUCUAUACCUAGUUAAUUCCAGUUGCAACAUGUCCUGUAGAUUUCAAAAGUUGUUUCUUUUACAAUCAUAUACAUAAGUAUCAUUGCAGACUGGUUGGCUAGUUAUGCUGGCAGACUAGCCGUCUUACUCGUCUUACCAGAAUACAAACUCUUUUUUAAAUGGCAGCUAGAGACUAAUUCAAUAUGGGGUUGGCAUGCAGGGCCCCUGGUCCUCUCCUUAAACUUCUUGUUAAGUAAACCCCGAUAAGUGAAAAGUAAUGACAUACAGAUAACACAUAUGGCCCUCAUCGACAAAAUGAACAAGCAACUUAACCACAUAGGGAAAUCCAUACCUAGUUAAUUCCAGUUGCAACAUGUCCUAUAAAUUCAAAGUUGUUUCCUUGACAAACAUAUACAGGAGUAUCAUUGCAGACGGUUUGGCUAGUUAUGCUGGCAGACACCAUCGGCGUUACUCAUCUUACCAGGACAAGCCUAUUGGGGUUCUUCAUCUCUGCAACAGGAACUUGGGAUACCCACCGAAAAGAAAACUACUCUACACUUGUGGUGAUUCAAAUUGUAACGAAUUCAUGCUCUCUACCAACCCUUCGAAGCUACAAACUAGCUUAUAAUUUAUCUCAAGCCUAUGAAGUUUGAAACUAAUUAUAGACAUAUUCCAAGUACCCUUAUUCUUUUGGCACGAAGUGCUGCACAAGCUUGCGACUUGUACAAACAACCAUUUGACAUAUAAAUAGGAUUGAUCUAAAACAAAGAAUACAAAUGCAUCUAAUCCUCGUAUGUUAGCCUUUGAGGUGGCCUACCGUGGUGGAUCGAGACCAUGGGAUGUCAACACAUCCAUUGUUUCAUCCAAAGUAUAGACAUCUAAUUACGGCAUACGUUCUCAUCGUAAUAGCUCAAUACAAACAACGAAUCAAACUUAUGUCCGCAUGAUCCCAUCGCACGCAAAGUAAAGAAUCGCCCACUAAAAUCGAAUCUCUGCCGGAACGGAAGGGGGAACAAUGCUUCAUGUCAAGCAAAACUCAUCGGAUCCGACCAAAACCAUAAGAGAAACAAUAAACCCGACGUCAAUCGAACUAGCACGAGAAAAGUGAGGAAUAAAGCUAGGAUAAUCGAGCAACUCACGCCUCCCCAUGGCUGAAACGAAGGCAGAAGACGAUACCUACGCCGCAAAUCGCAGAGGAGCCAGAAGGGUGCCGGUUCAUUUAUACCGAGCGACGUGGAGUGGGAUUCCAAAGUAGAAACCCUAAGAAUUAAAUGGGCUCGUGGGCCGAAUGCGGGCUCCGAUGCCGGUCACUUUGACGACCUAACUUGGGCUUGUAUUGUUGGAGGCUCAAUUCUUGAGAUACACGUUGUAGGAUGCCAUGCCAGCAUCAUGCCGUGGGCCAUCUUGUGGGUAUAAUGCUGUCUAUAACUUAAAUAUGAAUGGUUGAUGUGGCGCCUCGCUAUUGGCUGAUUCGUAUCUGAUAGAUAUGCAUGUUGAUUUUUUUUCAAAAAAUGAAUAAAAUCAUAUGUUGUAGCCUAAAAAGGGAUUUGUAAGUGUAAAUAAAUGUAUAUUAUUAAACUAGUAUUAUGUAAAUAAAUGUAUACAAGGAUAUUUUAAACCUAUGCCAUUAUUUAUAAGAUAAUAUUUUAAAUUCUUAACAUAUAAUGAAUAAAUAUGGUACAUAUUAAUGCAUAUUUAGUUUUAUACCGAUAUCAAUUUGGAGUUGAUCGAUGUAUAAUUUUAUUUUUAUUUUUUUAUUAACAAAAUAAUAAUAAAUCCUCGUCUCAUCCUACAUUGGAUGGUGUACUAAGAUAAAGCCCAUACAUAGUCUUAGAUAUGAGAUGUCCGCUCCUUCAAAAUAGAACGUAUAAAACAUAAGAAUAUAAAAAUUAUAAUAUAACUUGAGAUUAUCGUGCACAAAGAUACACAUUAAUAUUAGGAAUCAUAUUUUUCUGAUAUACCAAAUGCGAAGAAAGUAUAAUAAUUAUAAUCAUAAAUAUGAUUUAUUAAUAUUCAAAUAAUGGUGUCAUAUUAAUCAUGCGAUAUAGAAAUAUCUUAAAACAUGAGUUGUGCUUUGAAUAGAUAACUAAUCAAGUAGUUUAAUUUUACCUUUGAGUAGGAAAAGAUGUAAAAUAUUUCAUCAUUCGUACAGCUCGUAUUUUUAGAAUUGGAAGGCUAAUUAAAAAUGCAUCGACUUAUAUUUUUAAACCAUAAAACAUCGCAAAAGAAUAAACUGUAUAAUACAAUCGAAAAACAAAGUCAAAGUCAUACUUUGGAAGUGACAAAGAAAUUAACAACUUAUGUUUUAGAACAUUAAAAUAAUUAAAAUCAUACCAUCGAAGGCACACUUUAACAUAAAUCAACAUAAUAUGAUCAUCAUAGCUCGGAGACAAAAAUUAUUUUAGUUUACAUUUUGAUUUAGGGAGCAAAAAUAGUAAGAAAAUGUUCAUAAUGUGGGCUUUUACAUGUGAUUAUUUUCAUGUUAAAGUAAAAAAAGAACCCAUGGAUAGAACACCUUUUGACCUCAACGUAGCUUAACUUUAGGAGGCAAGUGGGUCAUUCAAUGCCUCACAUACCAUCAUUAUUUCAGCUUUAAUUCGAAUCCUUUGCUUCGUGAUCUUACUACUCAUCGAUCCUAUCAGUCUCAUCUCAUAGCAUACGAAGUCAACGAAGAAAAAGAAUCGGACAAACAUAUGUUAGAAACAAAAGCACGCUAAAAACGUAUGACGUUUCGUGGCCAUGAUUUGACAUGUCGUACGCAUGGGAUCCGGAUGACGAGCGAUACUCUGUAACCCACCCGCCUCGUUAUUGGGGGAUAGCCGUGGACCCCAGCUUCGGUACCGCCAGCUCCACGUGUCCACGACUCGUAAAGGGUGGAGUCGUGUAGGUCGUCAUAAGUCAGAGGCUCGCAGCCGCGCUAAUUGGCACGGACGGGAACGUUUUACCAGCCGUCGGAUGCGGGCCCCACCUUCCCGUUUCCUCCCGCCUCGUGAUUGGAGGACACCGGCGGGGACCGCUUCUGCCACCAAUCGAGCGUGUCGGUUACGCUUUCGGGUGGCGAACCUACGGGUUCAAAAAAGUCGGGAGGCUCCAGCCGCGCUAAUUGGCACGGCCGGGAACCUUUGCCUGCCCAACGAGGAGAUCCGAUGCGGGCCCCACUUUCUUCUCCAAGCCACCUCGUGGUUCGAGGAUAUCGACGGGGCCCACCUCGGGUACCUGGGAGCUUUGUCGGUUAAACGUACGGGUAAUUCGGAGGCUCCCGUACGUGCUAAUUCGCACGGGCGAUACUCGUUACUUGGCCCGACGAGGAGACCACGAUGCGGGCCCCGCCUCUUCUUAUCCAACCACGAUGCAGGUAUCAGUGUUUGUUCAAACGCUUGCUCUUCGAUUAGUAUUACUCGUCUUAUUACUGUUGUAAUUACCAUAACGAUCACUAUAAGUAAAUAGCCGUUACCCACUUUCGCCUUCCCUUCGAAUUCAAAUCCCUCUCUCUUGCUCCGCGGCCCAAACCGAUCCCCCAUGCUGUCGCCGGCCGAAGCAGCAGCUCCGCCUCGCCGGAUGCCCCUCCAGCCGAAGAACUUCGAUUUCAUCCCGUCCGUCUGGAUCCAUCCGAAGCCCAAACCGAUCGCAUUCCGGUGCCCGCCCUCGACCGGAAGGCGGGCGGGUAAGGAGAGCCGCCCCAUCUCGUCCCCGGAGCUGGGAACGAUGGCUGGGCUGCGGGACGCGUCGCUGUCGGAGGAGCUGGCGGCUGCCCGGCUGAGGCGGGAGCGGCUCCGGGCGGAGAGGGUGCGGACGGAGGAGGCGCUGCGGGAGCGGAACGCGGCGAUGCGGAGGUGGGCGGUGGAGCUGGAGAAGUGGGCCGAGGAGCAGCGGAACUUGGAGCUGGAGCUCCGCCUCUUGAUCGAGCUUCGGGAUUUGCAAUCCUCCUCUACGGUGAGACAGACAUAGCUCAUCUCCAUCGGGAAAAGAAGAGUUCUUGAUCAGUACUUAUCUUGUGCUUAAAGUUUUGGUUGCAGAUUUCGUCUCCAGUUCAAUCUCUGAGAGAAAAGGAACAGCAAAGAAGUAUGGAGGUGAAGCUGCAGGUAUGUGCGCCCAAUUGCAUACUUUCAGAUCACUUCUAGCUUUAAUCUGUUGAUAGGUUGAGUUGAUAUAUUGACAAUGUAAAACUAAAAGAACCGAGGGAAUGGUUAUAGAAUUGUUCUGCUAUUGCUGAGUUCUUAUUCCUGCUGUUCCACAAAAAAAUUCGGUUGUAGAUAUCACCAGUUCAACCCCUAAGAGAGAAAGAAAAGCAAAAAAUUGUGGAAGUGCAGUUGCAGGUAAGAAUGCCCGAUCAUAGUAAUACAAGUUCAAUGCAAGUAUCAGCAGUUUAACAUGUUUUUGUUGGCUAUGAUGAAAUGGUAGAAGAUUAAAGCUUAAAGAAAUGAACUCAUUCUCUAGUUAAUGCAGCAUUUGGUAGAAAAGAUGAGAAAGGCUUGGUGUGAUUGUUAUUGUGUGAUACAAACUUUUUUCUUGAUACAAUGCAUGUACUUCACAUUGCUACUUAUCUGUUACUAUUAGUUAGUCACCUAGUUGACAUCUUUCGAGUUUUUCCUAUGUGCUCUUCCAAUUUUGUUCACUUAUCUUACUUUCUCUUGACUGAAUUUAUCGGACAUUUUUCCAAUCUUCAGUAUUCUUCAAGAGUUAAGAUUAGUAAGUGCAACAAUCUUCACAGACAAGCUGCAAUAGGACAUUAGGAAUUCGUAUAGAGUAGCAUGAACCUCACAAGGAAGAAGACCAUAUUAUUCUUUUGUGCAGAACAUUCACCUUGUAGCAGAGGAGCUGUUAUUGUCUUCCCAUAGGUCAUCGGCAAUAUGAUUACACAACAAUUUGAACCAGUUUACCUAAAGAUGUUUGGAAGUGGUGCCAACUUACCAAAGAUUUUGGAUACAAAAAGCUUUUGUUCCUAGUAUCUAAGAAUUUGUUGGUACAGAAUCCUGAAACCAUUGGUGAACUGAUUUGAGCUGCGCCUUGCAUAGAGGCAUAAGUUAUGUCCAUGAAAAUUUAAUAGAUUAGCAGCAAACAUUAGACAAAGACCCUAUCUGGUACUGGUUUCCACUGAAUUGUGUUUUGACUUAUGGGUAAACUGAGCAAAUGGUAUAAAUAUUAUGAUUUCAGCUCGAUCGAUGUAGUCUGUGUUCAUGGUUUCACUCAACAAUAUUGUGUUUUGUUUGAAGCUAAUAUACAGAAGACCAACAAAUUUUCAGACACCUAAAUGUUUUCUCCUUUCGUGCAGGGACCCAAAAUUGCAGAACAAAAUAGUGAAGUUGGAAUGCCAUCUUCAAUCGAGGAAAAUGAGACAGAGAAGUAGUGUUUCUUCUCCACUUCAAUCUCUCUAUCUCUCUCUUGUUUUGUCACAUGUAAUUUGUGCCUUGAAAUGAAGAAAGUCAAAUUGCUCGUUUGCAUCCCUUUGCCACACACUUGUGUUGCCAUCGUGGUCAUGUAUCAAUACUUGUCAGUGAUCAGAGCAAGAAUCCAUAAUUGCUCUGAUCUGUGACAGCUUUUGCUGAAAUUUACAGAAGAAUAGUGUUCAUGUUUGACAUUACUCACUGACCCCUUUGCAAAUGAUUGACAUGUACAGAGAGUUUCUUCGAGAACAACAAUUUAAAGGGUUUUUUUUAAGCUUUGAUUAUGUGUCAAGAAAAUAUAAGACAAUAUCAGAAUUUUAAGAUGUAGAACAAUAAAUUCAGGAACACAGUGUUGGAUAUUUAAUGAACAUAUUUAUCAGGAAGGGAAAAAAAAAAUGAUGGUGCAUCUAGGCUUUGCUAAGGAAAUGAUGAUGAAAGAUGGUCGUAAUGGAUCCAUUGGAUGCCAAGAAAGCCAUCCGAGAAUCAAAUACACUGGUGGAUAGGAUCAUGAAUCUGAUGUUGUAUUUCACCAUCCAUCAUCAUUGUUACAGUCAUCAUCAUCAUCAAUAUUACUAUGGUUGUGAUAAUAGUCUUUUGGUCAAUGAUUGCUCUUAUUUUUCCAACAUCUCCUUGAUGGGAACCUCCUCAAUCAUCCAUUUUAAUGCUAAAGCUGCUUUCCUCACCUCUCUAAUCCUUUCUUAGGUGAUCUCAUGGCCUUGUGACUGCAGUAAGAUCUCUUUAGCCUUUUCUGAAACAUGCAGUCAUAUCUGAAGACCAUGACAAUUGAUUUCAUCAUCACAGCUUUUUUUAUAUAGCCGGCGGCAUAUUAUUACAAAACACUACUUGUUUGACUGGUACCAUACAAUUGCAUUCUUUUGCUUUCUUAGUCAUCAAAAAUUACUGCUCAUUUGAUUGUCUUGAAACUGAGGGUAAACACUUAAGUACAAAAUAUAGUUUUUUUUACUUUUCUUUCCAAUAUUUUAUGCCUUGAUGGAAAUACAAAAUCUUGUUGUCAGAUCAUUAGCAUUUCAACUGUCCAAAACACAUAUUCAGGUUCUACUGUUAUUCUAGUUCUGGUUUAUUUCUUUGUCUUUAAAUGUGUGUGUGUGCAAGAGAGAGAGAGAGAGAGAGAGAGCCAUAUAUAUUCACUUCUCUGGGGAUACAAAUGUAGAUGAUAGACUAGAUGUACAACCAGAAGCUGGGAAGUGAAUUCCUCUUUAGAAAAGAGAGAGAGAGAGAGAGAGAGAGAGAGAGAGAGAGAGAGAGAACCAUAUAUAUUCACUUCUCUGGGGAUACAAAUGUAGAUGAUAGACUAGAUGUACAACCAGAAGCUGGGAAGUGAAUUCCUCUUUAGAAACAUUAAGAAGCUUCAUGGUCUUAGGAUUCUUAAUAUAUAUGACAUAAACACGUUCUUCAACUUCUUCCAUGCAAAGGGGAGAGUAAUCCAAUGGCUAUUAUGGCUGCAUCAGUGGCAUCGGAUCUGUCAGUGGUGAAACAUGUGCUCUGCUGCAGCCAUGAUAGGCUGAGUCGUAUAACUUUGGAUCCAUGGACUGAUCGAGUUAUCGAUGGCAUGAAAUCCAUCACCCAUGAAGAAACUGCUGCUGCUGCUGCUGAUGCUGUUUCCAUUGAAGAUGUCAAGCAUCUCAUUGAGGGACUGUAGCCGGUUGCUGAGCUCCAUCGUCUGCGCCCUCAGCACGGAGUUCUCAGCCUGCGCGGCAGCACAGUGCCGCGUGGUGAGGUUCAACACCGAAAGGACGCGGCUGUUCUCCUUCCUCAGCUGGUUCGCCUGCGCCAUCAGAUCAUCCAGGUGCUUCUGCUUCCGUAACCUCGACCGUCUCGCGGACUCACGGUUCGAUAUCAUUCUCUUCCUCUUCUUCUCGUCCAUCGCCGCUUGCAGGUCUUCUGAUGAACCGGAGCUGUGGAACAUGCUGGAGCCAGAGGAAGCCCCACUGGGAGAAGCCAUUAGAACUUGGUGUUUUUGAAGAGAUCUGUUGGGUUUCCUCUCAAGAAAGACGAUGCAAACACGAAAGAUGCAGUUAUUGAUCACGAGACAAAGGCAAGAAGACUAGGAGACUUAUAUGUAAGAAGGUGGAGAUAUUGCACUGCUCAGUUUUCGGCACGAAGCUCAUGGAAAACAUAGAACCAGUAGAGAAAGACCACGGAGAAGGAUUGAACAAGAUGGCUCAUGCGCUGAAGAGUGGGAUUUAUCAUACACUCGGACGGGAGGAGUUCACUUCGGAUAGGCAGCAUCAAUCAGAAACAUCAAAAGGUAGAGACGCUGCAUGUGACCGGAAGAAGAACAAGGUUUAGUACACAACGCUCAGACCUUGGGACAGAGAUAGAAGAGUCGACCUCCCUUUUUUUCUUGGGUGCAAAGCUUGGUGAUGAUGAUUUCUUUGUUCUGAAUACAGAAUCAGAGUGCCUUGAGAAAAUUGGACGGAGCUUUCCUGGUAAAUAACAGGAAUGAAAGAAAAGUGUCCAACAGGAAGAAAGCAGCCAAAGGAGCUCCCAAAGAGUGAGCUUCUCACAAGAACCAGCGGAAGAACAGCAGCAAGAACUUGGCUUCCAGUGCCGAGUUAUGGGCACCAGAAGCAGGAGAAGAACAGGGAGGAAAGCUAUGAAAGAGCAACAGAACCUCGGUAGAGCUUAGCGAGGAAGAAGAGAAGAAGGGGAAAAAGGAAUUGUAGCAGCCAAAGGAGCUCCCAAAGAGGGAGCUUCACACAAGAACCAGCGGAAGAACAGCAGCAAGAACUUGGCUUCCAGUGCCGAGCUAUGGGCACCAGAAGCAGGAGAAGAACAGGGAGGAAAGCUAUGACAGAGCAGCAGAACCUCGGCAGAGCUUAGUGAGGAAGAAGAGAAGAAGGGGAAAAGGGAAUUGUAGCUUAGCAGAGGGUGGCAUUUAUGGACGAGAAUGGAGCAAUAAGAAGAGAAAAAUAAUGAAAGGAAAGGCGGAGGAGAGAGAGAAAGAGCAUUGGAAUCUGCUGUGAGUAGUAGUUGUUGGGGGGUGAUUCAUUGGAAAAGUGGGGUCAGAUAUGGUAUUUCAUAAGCAUUCAAUUCCAGCUGGUGGGCUGAACUGAUAUCCUCUUCCAGCCUCUACUUUCUCCAAGAUUUUUCCAAAGAGGAAAAGAAAAGUUGUUCUUGAAUCCUGCCAUUGGUAAUCCACUGUAGCUGCCGAGUUGAGCUUGAGAAGAGCAAUGCCACUCGAAGCUUGAUCAAUCCCAGAUAAAGAAACAUCUAAAAGACAUUUAAUAUGUUACCCUAGGAAACACCAUUAUAGGCAUUGAAGGGUAAGCUUUUCUUUAGUGGGCAUCUCAGCUGAGGUUACUGUGACAUUUCUUCUUUUCAUUCAAGAGGAUGGUGUCUUUUUCUUUUAGUUCCUUCUUCAAUGGUGGAAGAAGUAAGCAGCAUCAUAUAAGAGCACCCAUGAAUUUAGCUUCUGCUGCACUCUUAUAAAGACUGAUAAGGAGACAAUGGUGACAGUUGAAACUUUGAGAGAUGGCAUAGGUUGUGUCCCACUUAAAUACCCCCUAAUUCCAUAACUCUGUGGACACAGUGGAGGUUCUCUGGUGUAGAAUAAUGUGUGUGCUGUUAGGAGUGUAGUCAAUUUAGAAAUUGACUAUUAAAUCUCUUCUCUGACAGAAUGACAAUGUUGAUUGCUUUGGGACCAUUUGACACUGACAUUAUAUGUACAAGAAGGAUGGCUCUUAAACCUGCUUAUAAGACUAAUGAUCUUAAAGAUGGCCUUUGAUGGAAUCUGUGGGUUAAGAAGACCAAAUUUUAUAUGAUAGUUGUGUGGUUUUCCUGGUCUGGUUAAGGAUUUGCCAUAGACAAUUCUUCUAUUCUUUUGUGCUAAAGACAACAAUCGAAAAGUGUCUCAACCAUACUAGAUUAUCCCCUGUUGUUCUUGGUUUGGUCAACCAUUGCCUUCAUUUAGUUGCAUCAGGAAUGGUUACAGGCCACCAUUUGGCUUCAUUUAAUGAUUGACAUAAGAAACUUUGUAUCUGUGGAAAAAAUCACUGAUUAAUUUCAAAAUGUUGUUUUUCUCAUGUGGGGCUAACAAAGAUGGGCCAUGAAACAGAGGUUUCUGGGAGAUGCAACAACAUCUAAUCAUGAUUUAGAAAUUAAAGCUACUUGGAGUAUAGACAAUUACUUUUGGGUUAUGUUUAUCUUAGACCACAGAAGUUACAUGGUAACUGAUAGGCAUAGGAUGACUCCACUGCUAGUGAUUUUGAUGGCAUCAAUUAUUUGGCUUUUCCUCAAUAAAUGGAGAUAGAGAUAUAAUAGAUGUGAGGAAGGAUUGAGAAGAUAGAAGAAGAAAAUAAAGAAGUGGGUCCUCCUGUCUUUUACCUCUUGUUGAGGAUUAUGCAAUCCAUUUGUUCUACUCUGAUGUGUUUCUGAAGUGCCCACAGUAGCAAUUUUUCUUGCUGAAACUUCUACCUCUAUUUUUGGAGUGCAUGAAUAUAUUACUUUGGAACAUCUACAGUGAACCAUGAGAGUGAUUUAUCUUUGUAUGUUUUUGUUACCUAUAGAAACCUGGGAGGCUUCUUGAGCUGUGCAUUGUUUGCAAAAGUCUUUCUCCAUCAAUUGAGAUUUGAAAUAUCUUGAAAAGCAACAUCUUUGAUAGAUAGGAAUUGUGAUUAGUACACAUUGGUGAUCACUCUAGGUUCAUAAAGUUACCUACAUAGGCAGGUCAGUGACAGAGUUGUGUAGCCCAGGAAUUCAACAACCAAUGAUUAUGAGGAUAUAUAAUGAUGGACUUGCAUGCUGUUGAUUUCCAUGACAAACAUCUUAUAUCAUAUCUCAGCAGUAGAUGACAUUUUAAGGUCAUAUAUGAUGGAACAGAAAGAGAGAGAGAGAGAGAGAGAGAGAGAGAGAGAGAGAGGGAUUUGACUGUUCAAUUUUGUUUUAUCUCUUUAUACAAAUAGUCUCAAUCAAUGAUUGGAUGUGCAUCAAGCUCUACAGAAACAAGAAAGGUGAAUCUACCCUUCAAAAGCUGAAGAGGUGCUGAAGGACAUUGCAGGGUUGGACCAUCUUAUAACAUAUACCUCACAACUGUGGCUCAUGCUGUAUUGGAUCAUCAAGAAAAAUCAGGUUUCGAGGUCAACAAACAUGAUCAUGGCUGUUGGGUCUAAUCUAAUACAAAGUGGUCCAAGUUGGAAACAUCUAGGUUUGGUUUCACUUCAUUACAUUCAAGAAACAUCACUCAUGAGAUGCAAGAAGAGCAGAGUAGCUUGUUUUGUAGCUCAGCACCCUGCAGAAAUUUUAUCUUCUGCGGUUCCAUUGGGACCAAGGCAGGCAAAGAAGACAGUGAUGUUGUAAUGACUUUCUCCAGGAGCAUCAAAACAUUACUGAAAGAGAGAAAAGAGAAGGUAGUGAAAAGGAGGAGGAAGAUGCCACCUAAACUAGAGAACAAACUUUGAUGGCCAAAUGCUUCAAGGCUAAGUCAAUUCACUGGAAUUUUUAUUAUCAAUGGUGACCCAAGAGUGACCUCUGAGGUCCCAAACCCUCUCAACAAGUCAUGAUCUAGCACAGUCACUGGAUAUACAAAACCAUGCCACUAACUUCACAAUGGAUUUGACCUUUAGACCAGCCAAUGGUCAUCUGUUGCAGCCUGUCUGAUCUUUUCAUGAAAAGUAAAAGUUGAUUCUUACCUGAUCAUUGGCUUUGCUGUUUUGACAAAAACAAGGAGGAAGCAAAUAUCCUAAUUGAUUACAUAGAUAGUUUCCUGCAAGAUGGUAUGGGAAUUCUUGAUUGCAACUUCAAGAAGACAUUAUGAAAACAUGGCCUCUUAAUUCCUCCAAAACAGUUUAGGUGAUAUAAGUGAAGUCACAGACUAAGAUAUCUUGAAGGGCCAAAGAUUCCAAUAGUUGAUGGUGAUGUGAAGCACCAGGAAAACUAAAGCAUUAAGUAGUUGCUGGGGACCUAAUGUUCACAGGGUUUUAAUAUGAGGGACCAGGAUUUCUAGGAAUGAAGUUUUAUGUUGGGUAACCCAAGUUAAAACCCAUCCCUAUUUCAAUAUGGCUCAUGGAAUCUAUUAUGGUCAGCACUUUAGCUCCAUCAUAAACUAGGCAGGGAUUCCAACAUUGAUGGGAACAUUUGGAUGGUUUUGUGCACCAUCACACCACCUUCCCCACCAUGCCCUGCCCAAGCACUUCAUCAUUCUAUAAAACAAGAAAAAGAACCAUAAAUACUUCAGCACACUUGAGAUUGAUGUAUCCUCUUUAACUUCAUUCUUUGAUGCAACAGGCCAUUAGCAUGCCACUCUAGUGUCUUCACCUUGUGAUGUUAAGAUGAACACUUGCAUGCCAAACUUUGUACUUUGUUUUCCAUCUUUUAUUCCCCUCAUCUUCUUAAAAGAACCAUACUGCUACCACCCUUCACUGAUCUACUCCUCCUCACUCAUAGUUAAAUGAUGAACUACUGAAUACUAAGUAUAUCAGACAUUUCCUUAAGAUGUUUUCAGCACAGGUUGUAAUGAGAGACAGUACAGUUUUGCUGUGUGAUUGUACUUCAACCUGUAAUUCAUGUCAUAUCUCUUGUACAUCCCAAGAUGUGGGGAUUUAACUUUCUUGUUGGAUCCCUCGAUCAACACAAAAAAGAUUUUGGUCGGUUUUGUGGGGUUGUGAUCCUGCCACAAAAGUGAGAAGAACAGCAAGCAAAAGCUUAGCCAUCCUUUGAUGGCAAUCCCUUGAGAUCUGUUCUUGUUCUUUUUGGUGGGGUUUUUCUAUCUCUGGCGAUCAAAACUGUCAUCAAGCCCUGCUACAGGACACUCUCUUUUGCCAUGUUCGUGGACCUUCGAAGCAGUCGAUUGAGGUCUCAGCCACUGUUUAUGAUGGAGGUGUUUCCAGCUCACUGCACAAGCUUUUCCAUCCCUUUUUAUUGCCUUAUCUACAAUCAGGAUACUGUGUUGUGUUUGUAAUCAUGUAGUGUGUGCAUGAAGGAUUAGAUUUCGAUAUGAUUAUAGGUGAAAUCAAAUCCACUUGAUUUAUUUUUCGAGCAUUAUCACGAUAAUGUCUUAGAGAAGCGCAGAAGUAAAUAAUUAUAUCAUGUUUCGAUCUAUUCUUCUGAGUCUCAAGUUAGUAUAUAUUAGUGGCGGACGAUGAAAACUCAUAAUUGGUUAGAUUAUGAUGUUAUUUUAUAUAGUAUCUAUCGAUGAUGUAAUAAUCAUCGAUUAUAAAAUUUUAUAUAAAUUAAAAUAUUUUAUUGAUAUAAUAUGUUUAGUUAACAUAUUAUAUCCGUUAGACUUCAUGUGUGUCGAGUCUCGAUUAAUAAAUAAUAAUAAUCAUAUCACACAUCAAAUAUAUAGUCAAUAUUUAGUGGAAAGGUCAUAUAUAAAUGAAAAAUAAAUUUAUCUGAAGAGAAGAGAAAGAAAAACAAAAAAAAAGGGUGAAAGGUUCAGAAAAGAUUCUUCUGCUUUCAUGUUCUCAUAAAGCAGUGUCCAACCACCGGAGUCGCAGUUCUGUAACAUCAAAUCCCACUUUGCCUUCCCUGCACAUGAGUGGUGAUGUUGUUGCAACUGAUCAGAGAAGCAAAGCCUUCGUAUCAUCUUUAAGCAAAAGCUCUUCUCAUCAUCUUUUCGUGAAGAACAUUUCUGCGACUGCGCUCCUUUUGCUUUCACCUUAGGUGACCACCACCUCCACUUGUUCCACCAUUGCUCGGUGGACAGUGCGCAGCAUGUGCCGCUCACAGCACAGAGGAAGAAGAAGGAACAUAAAAGGGGCAGUGACGGCAACUCCCCUCCCUCCUACAUUCUUCCUCGACUCCAUGUGGAUCGACUUUUGUGGGCAGCUGAAGCUUUCCUACUGCCCUCUCGAUCUCGUCCUGUGUGGUAAAAGCUCGCUCGCUGUCACUUCUGAGCGAGCUUUAUUCGGGUGGGCCGCUAAUGUAUUCGGCCCGUUACUAACUCAUGAUGGCCCAUUUAUUACUACAAAGGAUCCGAGUAGGAUAUUUUUUAUGCACUAUCAUCUCAAGCAUACAUUACACAAUGAAUAAAUACACCGUAAUCCCAUCGAACACCACAACAGAAGAAAAGAAGGAACAGCGCCACGACGGUAGGAAGAAGAAGAAGAAGAAGAAGAGGAGGAGGGUGAUGUAGGCAUUCGGGCGAACGUGUUCAGAUCACGCCCUGGGCUUGCAGACGAUGGUGGAGUGCUUGAGUAUGUGGAGGCUGAACUGACCGCCCUUCUCGGUGGUGUCGACCUUGCUGACGCCCGGCGGCGGCAGCAGCUCGAAGUCCUGGACGAGGCGGCCGAGGGUGAUGCCGAGGAUGGGCAGGGCGAGGAUGAUGCCGGGACAGCUGCGGCGGCCGACGCCGAAGGGC